UCUACUACUCCUUGCUUGAUUGAACUUAACGUACGUAGAUUUAUAUUGCUAGUAUAUCUGUGUAUCCUCUUUACAUUUUUGUUCUUUUUUUCCUUUUGUCUAUUUUUUUUUCUCUUUUGUUUGGUUAGUUCUGAUUUUUGGGAGCUCCAUUGUGAUUUCUAAGAGGAGAUUUAUCGGAUGUACGUACGUAUGUACUUAUGUUAAUAACGUACUCUUCAAUAGUUUGUAGCAUUUUUCAUAGAUGAAUAAGAGAGCCCGGCCGUCAUUCUUGUUUUGUGUAUAGAAGUGUGUACUAAUCAAUAAUUACAGUUGUUUACCUGCAUAGUUAAACUGCAAACACCUAAAACCUAAUCGAUCCUGUAUAUAUGAUCGGGUUCAAUUUACAGUUCGAUCGCCUACCACUCAUACCCUAGCUGGUACAGCAUUUCUAUAUUUCAUUUCAAUAUACGUGAUAAUAAUAAAUUGGGUCUGGAAAUUCAAAAUUUACUUCCCAACAAUAUCUCCAACUGUAUAUGUAUAUCAAAAACCCUAACACUCUUAGAGUUGAUCAAUGAAAUGGUGGUUGGGUUGUUGAAAUGGGUGGAUAGAGCAGUGAUAUUUCUGUGGAAAUAUCAAUGGAACAUAUAUGAUAGUGGAAUUUGUACAUGGUGGGGAAGGAAUGGGAUGAGAAAAUGAUAAAGUUAGGUGCAGCAUUAGCUAGGGUAACUAGUAAAGGAAUAAUGUGUGGAAGAAAUGGGAUAUGGUGAAUUGCAUAUUAGGAUAGGAUACAUGCGCGCAUGCAUUGCGUUCCAGCUUUGCUUGGUAGUCUUGUUUGUGAUCUUUUUAUGGUGGGUUAAAGGAUUAGAGGGAGAUAGAAAUGGCAUGGCCAGCCAAGCUCAAAUGGGAAUGAUCGACAUGAAAGCACAAGGCAUCCAAAGGAAUGGUACUUAUUCAUGGGGUAUGUGGGGUUUGAUACGCAUAUAUGGUGACAAAACAUAUAAAUUGGAAAGUGAAGUGCACAUGACUCCUACUACUAGUUGCCCCCACGAAACAUACAUAUAGGUGAGCCGUGAGCGAGAGGUCGAUCACGAAUCCAUUAACUUCUUCCUUUGUGUAAAUUCUAGCUUCUCGUGUUUUUUUUACAGUUAGAUCAUCAAUAAGUUGUGAAAACAGUUAUGCAUACAAGUAGAGGAUCCAGGAAAAACUACUUUGGCAUAAUAUUGGUUUCUUUUAGUUGAAUACAAGGAAUUACAUUACGCAUGCAUACAUUUCCACUACAAUGAGUUCCAAAACGAUGACAAUUGAUUGACCGAGAGACUGAGAGAGCCCUCCGAUCCCCCCGCUAAUAUUUAAGAAGGAAUGAUCGGACUCAUCGGAGUGCUAAUUACUUUCCUGAAACUCUGAAAGAGUUCCUCAAAAUGCCAUAGAUUGGCUUAAGCAUCAGGGAGUUGUAGCUAGGAAUAACUACUUGAUAUGUUUAGGGUAAAAUGACCUAUCCCUACUUUCAGCUGGCCAACUUCUAGAAAGAAAUAUAUAGCAGAUGUUUCUUCAACAGACGUAACUAUGUGCUCACAGUUAUGAGAGAGAGAAGGGAUAAUUUGGUGACGACUAGCUAGCUUACAGCAGGCAAUCAAUGAGUGAUGCAUGGUGGUCUGCGUACGUAUGAACAACCGUGAGUGCUUAUGGCACUACAAAGGAAUAAUCCAAAUGGACGAUGUGACAAAUAACAUGUAAUGCGAAAAAACCACAUGCACCGUGUUGGUCACUAGAAUUUGGAACUUUGGAAUAUAACUAUUUGUAUAUAUACUUGCAUAUCAAUUGCAGUAUGAGUUCAAUUUAGUCAUGGUAUGUGGUAUGUCUGAGUUCAAUACGUACGAUCAAACAUUCACAUCAGCAGGUUAAUUAGUGUGAGUUAUUCUGCUUAGGUCUCAUUCUUCAAAACUUGCUCAUCUUGAAACAGUUUAAUCAUUUAGUGUUAACCUUGAAGGCUUGAACUCUCAUUCAGUUGAACCCAAUUUGAGUUGAGGAUUGGUUACUUGUCCUUCCAACUCAAUCUCAGAUCGCCUAACAAACAAUGAAACAAAUCACCUCCUAGGAUCUUAUUAUUUUUACAUUAUCACUUCCUUGCUAUUACGUACAGAAUCCAAAACUCCCAAAUUAUUCCCAAUUAUGUAAAUCACAAGGAAUAUAUGUACGUGUGCCCUGCUUUGCUGAUUAGAUUCGUAUACGUAGUAAAAGCAAAUAAUAUGAAUGGCGUAGUUUCACGAUCAGAAACAUAAAGCUAAAGUUUGUAUAGAUUAAAGCAUUGGAUGCCAUUCAAAGAUCCAACAAUUCAGAACCAUCAUACUAUAAGCUUUAUAUGUCUUUUACCUUUUUCUAUGAAGACAGACACCAAACUACAAUGUUCUCAUGAAUGAAAUUAAGAGACAAGAAUAUAUACAUAGCCACAUGUCAGGCUGAUUAUUAAUGAGAAACCCUAAUGCGCGUGUAGAAAACCCAGAGAAUUUUCCUAUCAUAUGGGAUUCAAGAUUCUUAAGCGCACUUGGUUUAAGUUGUAUCCUGGUUUGACAUAGACCAAACUCUUUAGUCUGUGCUUUACGAUUGAUUUGAAUUGUGAAAGAAAUGGACUUAUAUUGCAUCAAGCAGCGGAAAAAUGAUCGAGCCAGCUUUAGUGCUACCAAUUUCAAAGUUGAUGGGUUCUCAGCAGGGCAAGACCUCACAUUAAAUGAAAGAUACUCCACACAAUUUAAUUUACGAAAACUAGAAAAGAGACAAUUAGUGAUGUUUUGUGGUUGGAACUUGGAAAGUUUGGGCAAAUUCUGCUUAAUUUAAACAGACAAAUUAAGAUUGAAAGCUAUGCAACUUCCAACUCUAAAAAGCUCAGUCACAUUAUUGCAUACACACACACACACUUAUUUAUGGUAGACCGUAUAGAAAACAAUGAUGAAGAUUUUGAUCUCCUAGUGAUUCAUUUUCACAGCCAAGUGCAAACAUAUUUGAUAUAGAAAAUCGUCAGGAACGUCGACAAAGAGCGAUAUCCAACAAGGUAGCGAUGAGUGAUGACCCCAGAGAAAAGAGAGUAUCGAGUAGCAUUAGAGAUUUGGGACUAUAUAUGGAUGUACUAAUAUUGGAGAGAGUAUUAUUUGUCUCGGAAGUUUCUAUUUCAAGACGACAGAAUUUGAUCGGUUGGAAGAGUUAUCUGACCAACGUUUAUGCGAGGGAGUUGAUGAUGGGCAUGGUAAUCAACAUCAGAAAGAGUAAUGGUGCCGGUGAGUGAGUCGACGACGAUGACGCUGCUGAAGAGGGUGAGACCUUGAGAUCGAGUUGUAAUAGUGUUUGCUACCAAGAGUUUCGGACUAAGAUGUGUUGCUCCCUUGCUCACAUGUUUUUGGCAGCAAGGGCAAAGGGAGUUGGCUGAGAGCGAGUCAUUAUGUCUUCUCUGCCGAUAUAACAUGCCUACAGAUUAUUGCUCUUUGCUAGUGUGGAGUGUUCUUAAUUUUCUUUUUGGACAAUAUAUUCCUAUAUAAUAUAAUCUUCAUGACAUCCCUGGUGCCUUAGCUUGUUUAUUUGUGAACUAUGUUCACUUAAUGAUAAGUAGUUUUCCUAAUUUGUGACCAAGUUUCACAAGAAUCUGAAUAAAAAUGAACGUUGCAAGCAUGUUACUAAUCGACUAGACGAGGGAUAUGGAUUUUAGUGGUUCAAAAUUUGGGUAACUUUUCUUUUGCUUCUGGUAAAGGUUUAGAUUUCAUUGAAAUAAAAAGAAUAAAAGAAAAAAAGAAGAGGAAACGGGAACCACAACCUGUAGGGAAUAGUAUACACCUAUACAAUGACCAAAGUCAAUAGCUCAAAGAAAUUCGAAAAACACCAAAUAAGCUUUACCACUCAAAGUUUGGAAAGAACUUGGUCUCAUUAAACCAUAUAAAUUUAGACCUCUGAAAGCUUCAGGUGCAAUUCCCAACUUCACAUACUCAAAAAUAGCAUUUGAAAAUGUGACGCUUUUGGUCGAACAAUAGUGAAUGCUUUUCAACUCCUAGUUCACAGCAAGUAGCUAAUUUCAAUUAAGAAAAGAAACCAAAUACAGCACUUGUCAAUUAUUACAGUGUUGCAUAUGAUUGAGGAAUUCACUAAAAAAGUAUACUAUCAAACAAUGUGGUACAAUGACAUGAUCCGCUAAAUUUGGAACUAGCAAUAUGACAAGUGUUACCGAUAAAGGAGAAUGAAAACUCAAGUCAAAAUUUGCCAAGAAAUGACUGGUUCAUGAGCAUGCAGUGUAAAGUACGAUGCUAAGUUGCUAACCACAGAGCUGCAUAAUGAGAAGAAGGCUAGUUCCACCUUGGAAUCUAACCACUGCGCAUCAACUGGGUUGUAGGUGAUGCGGAUUCUACUAGUAUACUCUCUCUAAUUGGUUUGUAUUUUCUAAUCCCUUGACCCAGAUAAUGCGUCUUCAACGCUCACCAAGGUCCUAACUCUGGAGAAGGGUAUCAAAGUUAAUAUCUUUUAAUCAAGGCACUAUUUGUUCUAACAGAACCCUGAUACUUCACCUAUCUUCUUCUUUGUUUUCUUCGACAUUCAAAGCAAUCUGAACAUGGAGAUCUGAUUUUACUUGUAUAAGAUGCUUGCAGCUUGCUAGGUGGUACUUUCAGGUCUUCAACUAGUAUAUGGCGAAGCUUCUCAUUCUCCUCUGUGAGCUCGUCAAUGAUUUGCUGGUGUUUCAAUACCUGAGACAACAUAAAUUCAAUUAAACAAUUCUAUUACAUUUUCCUAACAGGAGUUGAACAGUUUUAGUAGCUUGAAACAAAAUUGAAGAAAGCAAUUGUUUAGUUGAAUAUUUAGAAAAGAAAAAGGUUGAAUUCUUGAUACAAAGGUGAUGUAUGAGCUACAGAAAAUUGGACUCUACAACACAUGAUAACUUGUUCAAAAACUUGUCAAAUGCUCUAAAAACCACAUUGGAACAACAAUAAAUACUAUAACUAUCUGCUACUAUUACAUUGAAACCACAGAAAAGGGAUCAGAUAUUUGUCAGAAAAAAUGACUUCUUAGCAUAUCUUGAAGGCUGUGAGGAAACUCACAAGUUGGACAUAUCAAAUAGGUAUUUACCAAGCAAUAACAUCACCACCAUAGUUGUCUCUUAGUCUCUUAGAUCCAUCACUUGGGAAAAAUUAAUAAUAUUAUAAAAUAAUUAUAAUAAAAAGGAAUCAAUUGAAACCACAAGUCAAUAUUUACUACCAUUUGAAGGAUUUUAUUCUCCGACCUCAAGCGUCCAGCCUACAAAGGUAAAAUCAAUAAAAAUUAGUACAAAAGUAACAUGAAUGGCAGACACACCCAGGUACCUACUACGCCACUACAGAUUGCAGAGAGAGAAAGUGAAAGAGAGAUCAAACCAAAGGGUCUGCAAUAAAAUCACAAAAAUUUCAGACUUAGAGUUGGAACCUGUACAUACCACGUCACUUAGUUCACUAUCCUCUCCCUUCAAAACUGGACUCUGUAAAAAGCUGCUGAGAACCUUCUCUGUACGACUGCCAAAAGGUGUAUCAACUGGAGAGCUUGUUGAUGUAAAAUUAUCAUAAGUUGAACCUGUACCCUUAUUUCCAUAUCCAGGCAAGCCUUGAGUUGCAUAGUCUGCUGGUUUUGUUGCCAUCUGCAUUAUAUUUCCGACUGGAUUUUGGCUUGAUGAAUCAUUCAUAACGCCAAUGCCGCUUUGCAAUGAACUUGGAAUGGCACCUUGAAGGAUUGGUAAAUUGGGAGAAAUUCCAAAUUUUGUCAUCAUUUUUGCCAUUGUUUGCUGGAGAAUUUAGAGUCAGAAACAUAGUAGUAGGCUCCAACGGGAAUUAACACAUGAAAAAGCAAAGUAAUACUUACCAUAGAAAACAGUUGAAUUUGUUGCAAAAUCCCUGGUUUCAGAGCAAGGCCUGCAUUUGGAAGCAAUAGUAAAUGAAUAUUGUUACAAUGUAGGAACUACAAAGUAAAAUGUAUUAACUUAGUAUACAACGUCAUAAGAUAUGAGUGCAAUUGAUUUGGUGUGAUUUAGAACAAUGUACAAUAACUUGGAAUAAUUGAAAGCUGAAGAAUGAAAUUUGUUUCUUAUUGAGAUCUUAAACUCAACUGCAAACGCUAGUGAGAUUACUAAACACAAACGUUCGUCAGUCUAUGACAUUAGUGAUGUAGUGAUUACUCUUAUUCAAAAAAUUAAGUUAUAUCUACAUAAGCAAUUGAUAGAUGCGACUUAUUGAAUAGAAAGGUAGAUGGUAGGACCAUCAUACAUGUGUUAAACUUUAAUAGUCUGAUGACUCCUCUAUUAAGUUUUUGGAGUCAGUCAUUAUAGUGCUAAAAUACAGUUCAUUCUUUGGUAAUCCAACUUCACUAAAAAUACCAACUUGAAAUUCAAAAUAUUGAGGAAAUAUGAAAGAAUACUGAAAAUACUAUGGAGAUCAAGGAUACAUAAUAACAUAUAGGUAAAGUCUGAAUGUUUUUUUUUUUUAAUCAAAGGGUCAACUCUUUAUUGAAUAUAGAACUAAAUUAUACGUUACAAAUAUCAGCUGCUAUAGCAGAGUGAAUAAAAUUGGUGCAGAACUAAGUCUGAAUGUUUUUGUAACUGCUAGACACCAUACAAUCAAUUUUGCUAAAGCAUUUUACAUCCACGCUAUUCGGUGCUUAUGACCAAGGAGAGCAUCCAGUCCUUUCACACCCAAAACAAGGUAAACAACUUAAUAAAGAAUAAAUGAAUUUCUUCAAUAAGCCACGGAUAUUCAGUGAUAAUUUAGUUUAAAAUUCUUAGGUAUGUUGAUAGUAAUUUACAUUACGCGCAUCAACAUUUCCUCAUGAAAACAAAAAAAACAAAGCAUUUCAAAAUAUUCAACUAUCGUAUUACUAUGUAUGAAUCAAAUGGUUUGGAUAACAGAAGCAAAUAAGAAAUAUGUAAAUGAAAUAAUGUCAAUAUAGGAAAGAGAAUAUAUUAUAAUACUGAUUCUCCUAGAAGCAGAUAAGAUGACAUACCAACUCCAAAGCCAUGUCCAAAACCAACGCCACAACCAAUGCCGGCUUCAAUGUUCUUUGCUCCAACCUUCCUUAACUGGACAAUGAGAAAGCAGAAUAAGACAUUUGGGAAUCCUUCAACACUUGUAUAAUGAUUUUCUCUUCCUAUCUCAUAUCAAGACACAGAAUACUCCCGAGAAUCCAAGACUGAAAAGGAAAAAGUUAUUCGACUUACGGCGUCAGUUACAUGUCUGCUAACUCCCGAAAAAGCAUCAGUGGCACCUCUUGUGGCACCCAUGACUUGAUUUACCACUGGUACUGCACCUGGUAUAUAGCCAAAGUAAUGUGUGAGUUAACUAAUAUCUACUAGUCCGCUACAACCAUAGAAGAAAUCUCUUGUCAAUGAUAUCUUUACUUGAGGACACUUGUGACUUAAUUUUAUAGAUUAAUGAUAAUAUAUAUAUAUAUAUAUAUAUAUAGAAUUAUCUUUUUACUCCUGCUAUUCUCUGCGCUUGUAAUUUCGUGAAAGAAGGAUUGGAAAAGAUUUCUAUCUGAAGGUUUUGGCUGACAGAAAAUACACAUACAUAAAAUAUAAAAUUUGAAAAGACUAUUAGAUCAAUGGACUAAAUGAGCAAGGAUAAUAAAAGGCUCUAUAAACAAUAGAAAACUCAGAUUUACGAUCAUAAGUGACAAAGACCAAAUGUACUUUAAGUACUAAAAAUAAUGAGGAAAGGGAUAUGCAUACUUGAAUUUUUGGAUUAUUGAGAUGCCAAAAGGACAAAUACAUUUUCAGUGUACAUAGUAUAUUCCCUGCGUUGCUACAACUCUUUAAGUCUUUAACUUAUAGGUCAAUUAGAGCACGCAUAGGUACAGUGAUGCCCAUCAAGCCUAUAAUAUAAAUACCGAAUUCUAUGUGCUAAACGUGUCUUGUUUUAUAGAACUAAGCACAAAUGGACAUGAAAACAUUCAUUUUUUAAGCACAUGUUAAUGCUGAUUUCUUUCAUUUCUCCCUUCCUCUAAGUUGUUUUCCUCGACUCAAAGGUUAGCAAUGCAGCUUUCCCUUUUCAUUCAUACUUAGACAGGAGUUAAUAUCUUGGAUCAUGCAUGCUAACAAAGUAACAAUGUGGCUAUGUCAGGUGAAUGAUCCUACAUUAGUAGCUUUGGUGACUUGUGGAUAACCUACCAAAUAACCACUAAAACACAUGUGGAAUAUAUUGGUCUUGGAACUCAAAUCCAUUGCCUAUCAGAUAGUGUAAAACUAAGAACUCUCUACCUUCAAAACAACAAUUUAAACUGCUCUGAUGACUACAAAUUGAAUUGAUUUCCAUGUAUGACUACACAACACCAAUUCAAUGUUUCAGAAUAUGAGAUCUCAGAAAUGAGCAAGAGUGGUAAACUAUAGUUCUUGGAAAUAUAAAGGACACCAGGUCCACCAAUAUCGUUGUAUCAACAAAUCCUUCAUUAUCUAAAACGAUAUAAGCACAAGAGACUCAAAUCAGAACAUAGCUUCAAACUGCACACACCCCACGAUCACAUAUUGACUAGAACCACAAUGCGCAAACCUCAAAACAACCAAAUUCUCUACAUCAAAACCAACGCACACUGCAGCUACACUAGCAAAUAACCAAAUGCAAUAUCUAUAAACAAUCAACCAAUCUUCCUUCAUUCACUAAAGGUCUAAAGCCAACAUGAAACAGCUUAAUCACAUUUCCCUACACUAACUCAGCAACCAAAAACACGACCGAAAUUUGAAAACCAAACAAACAAACAGUCCAUUAGAACCUUGUGAGUGAUGGGUUUCACCAUUUUUGGGCUUGAAGAGCCUCCCAAAGUCCAUCUUCAAUAUUUUAAAACUCACAGAGAACAAAGCUACACAACACUGAGAGAGAUAGCAAGGACUAAAAGAAAAGGGUGAGUACCUAAAUUAAUGGGGCGGCCAACGCCGAUACCAACACCACAGCCUAUGCCAAACCCAGUAAAUACUUGACCCACUUUCAAAGUAAACGGAUUCCCUAUUCGAAUCGGCUUCUUCUCAUUGGCCACCACCACCACCUUACUGCUUCCCUCCAUAUUCCCCAAAAAAGCUUCUCUCUUUUCAAAAACCCAAGUCUCUCUCUUUCUUUAGUCUUUCACAAAGCUAAAGCUUCAACCUUUUCUUUCUUUCCUCUUCAAAUUUCCCACCUUUGCCCUCUCUGUGAAGCCUGAACUGUAAGUCUGAUACAAUUUUAGGCAGGAGGCAAACUGAACAGAGUUUCUACUCCUCUGCUUACAAAACCAUUAUAGUAAUCUUAGGCUUCAAGUGAUGAACCAAUAUAAACAUGACACAGCAACAAUGAGGAGGUCAAUUACCAGAUUACCUUCAUACCUAAGAAGUAAGGUACUAACCAAGUGUCAAAGAAAGAGGUUAGCUGGAGUUGUUUGGGCCUAUUGGGCAGGUUAAUUUUUGACGCGGCCCGGCCCAUUGUUUGGGUUCUGACACUGAUAACCCGCCUUAUACUGAUUCUUUGCUUCUGCUAGUGCUAGAUUUUGGGGCACGGUUUCUGGGUGAGCUUCUUCAUCUUUGUUUUGUUUCCUUGUUUUUCGUUUCUCUGUUUUCAUUUUGCUGCAUUUUUAGUAUGUGGGUUUUGUGAGUUUGGGGGCUUUUUGCGUGAACGUUUAGAGAGUUUUUGGUGUGGGAAUGUAGGUUUUGAAAGGUGUGAUCUUGAUGGGUUCUUUUCUGUGUGUUUUGGUUUCUGCAAAUUUGGGUGAGUUUCCUCACCUCUUCUUCUUUCUUUUCCUUUUUUGUUUCCUGCAUUUUUAUUGGGUACAAAAAGUUGGUUUUGCUGAGGUUGGGGUUUUUGAGGAUUCUGGAUUGGAGUUGUGGGUUUGGACUAUGGAGUAUGGAUCAUGUGUUGAAACGAGCUUUCCAAAGUAGAGUUUUCUGCAACUGUAGCCUUGUAUAGUUGUGUACUUGUGUUUAGAGAAAUGGGUAGGAAUAGAACAUUCACCAAGUGUUAUGAAUCCCAUUUGCUUAAUUGGGUUACAAGAUAGGGAUAGGUUUACUUACCCGUUACCCCUCAUGGGGUUCUUUUCAGUUUGGUUAUCUGUUGUGUUUUGGACUUUUAUGUUUAAUAGAUUAUUCAGGGUUUCUGCUUUUGGUUGUACUAUGGAACGUUUAUAUGUAUGUUCUGAGUGUUGUGUGAACUUUAAUUGGUGAUCCAAUCUUUCUAGCAAAGUGUCCCGCACAGUGCUCACUUUGAACACAAAAGGUUUCGACCUUAUCUUCACUUGUGGAAGUUGAGGAAAUCUGUCAAAUGGAGCCUAUUCUACAUAUUCGAUCUUUUGCUGCACUAUAUUCAUGAACACUUUCGUCACAGCUCUUGAUUUUUAACUAGUCCCCUGCUAGUGAAUUUUGUGCGACCAUUGGUACCCCAAUGUUGUUUUAGGUUGAACUUUUUCCUCAGCUUCUGUUUGUUUCUUCAGUUUUGAAAUUUUCCAGCUUGUCUUCAGGUUCCUAUAUAGUGUGUAGGAAAUCUGCUAUGCUUGUUGAGUUUCUGGUAACUAGAUUGUUUGUGGAUUUUGUUGCUUACUUGCUUUGGUUGCAUAUUAACUAUAUAAAAUCUGUAGAUGUGCUCAAGUAUUUAUGUGUACUUUCAAUUAGUAUUUCAGUUUCUUUUUACAUAAUCAUAUGUGGUUUAGCACAUUCAUUUUACUUUACAAAAUUUGGAGUAUGGUAAUUGUUGAAGCUAACAAUAGUCUCUUCGUGGAUCAGGUGUCAACAUCGCUUACCAUUUAUGACAAGCUUCCAUCAGGAAAAAUCAUUGCUUCUGUCAAACUCUGUGAUUACAAAUCUGGCAAGGUAUUCAACUUAUGUUAGCCUUUGAAGUAUACAUGAAUUUGCAGUUCAGCUGCAACUUAUAUCCACAUUUCUUUUAUCUAUUGCUGCAGUACCUUUAUGAACAAGUAAAAAGCAGUUGAUCUGAACUAAUCCUCUGCUAUUUGUUUUUGCAUAGUAAUUGGCGGUCCUAGCAUUAUUUCAGGAGGGGAAACUAGAUACUUGACAACUUCAGUUACAUUUGUAAACGAUAUUGCUGGUCUAAGCUUGACAGAGCCAAAUUCCUUUGAUUUAGUAGUUCUGUAAGUUGGCCACUAACAGAAAAGUACCUGUAGUUUUUGGAUGAUUAAACAGACAAACAUACUGUUGUUAUUUAGGUUUGUCGCAGUGUCUUUUGGUUGCUAGUCAAUAAGAAUACUUGUCUUUGAUGGUUAUUGUGAUUUUAGGUUCUUGAGCAUUACAUAGGGUUAUGUGUUAUCGUUGCAGGAUUUGGAAUCAUCAAUUGUAUCACUAAGUGGUAUCCAUUUUCAAGUAGGAUUUGGAACGUUGCCUAUGGAAAAUUCUGAGCUACCAGCGUAUAAGCGGUGUAGAGUCUCUGCUGUUCGUGACUUUCCUAUUGGGUGUGGACCAUUUGCUCACUUGAGUAAUUUGAAUGCCAAUGGUACAGAGAAGAUUUCAGAUAAAAAAUAUCCUCCUCGAUCAGUAGAAGCUGUUCGGGAUUUUCCACCUUUAUGUGGGAUCAAUGCUUCUCCGGAGGCCAGGAAAUUCAGCAAAGAGAAGUCAGUUAGGGGUUAUAAGCCCUUGUCAUCAAAGACAGCGAAGAAUAAUGAGAAACAAACAGGACUUGGGAACAAAGUUCAACCCAACAUUGAGAAGAAAAUUGGAGGACACUCUCUAAAGAAGAAUAAUCAUGUACCAGUAAAGGCUGCUUGUCAAGGUACAAGUCAGCCUGAUAUAAGGAAGAAGGAGUAUUCUCAGCAUGAUGAAAAAGAACAUAAUCUUGUGAUUCCAAAAUCACGGAGUACAGAUGGGUGCCCUCCUCCUUUUGGUUAUAGUAGUUUGAGCCGCAGAAGUCAUGAUAAUGACACGAGUGAAAGGAACAAGGUAAAGGAGAUAUUGCAUUUGUUCCGAGAUGAAUGUCAGAAGCUCUUGCUGGAGGAAGAAAAUAAAAGGUCAAGGGGUGUGGGAACUUCUCACCGAAGGGUUGAUUUGGAAGCCUUCAAGAUCCUCAAGGAUAGGGGAAUCUCUAUAAAAUCAGGCAAACAUGUCAUAGGAGAUAUUCCAGGAGUUGAAAUUGGUGAUAAGUUUCAUUACCGAGUGGAACUUAUCCUUAUUGGCCUCCAUCACCAGAUACAAAGUGGUAUAGCUUAUGGACAUUUCGGUGGAAAGGUCCUUGCAACCAGUAUCGUUGCAUCUGGUGGCUAUGCAGAUGAUUUGCAUAGUAAAGAUUCAUUGAUCUAUACUGGCCAUGGAGGAAAUGCAAAUCCAAAGGACCCUCAAGAUCAGAAGCUUGAACGGGGAAAUCUUGCUUUAAAGAAUAGUGUGCAAAAGAACCCUGUUAGAGUGAUCCGUGGCUCCGAACUAGUGGAUGGAAGCAGGACAUAUUUCUAUGAUGGAUUAUAUAUGGUAGAGAAAUGUUGGCAGGGUAGAGGUGCUCAUGGUAAGCUUGUUUUCAAGUUUCAGAUGAACAGAAUUGGAAGCAUUGGAAAUUGACGUGUGAGGUUAGUACUACUUAUUCAUCUAUAAGAUAUUUGGAUAUUAUAAGUUAGAACUCGGUUAGUUACAUAUAUCGUGCAUUGUACUGCAUUUGGUUGAGUGGAUGCAUGCAAAUAUGAAAUACUAUCAUAACUGAUGAACUGAAAAUGCAUUGAAUAUGAUUAGACCAUGAAUCCAUUCUUUAUCAUGGUUUCUGAUUUAUGUAGUGUUGAUUCCGUUGGAGUUAAUUUGGUUGUUUUUCGUCCCCACAGAUGCAUGCUUGAACUUGGGUAUACAAGGAAGAAUUGCCAGCCAGUAUUUGACCCAUCUAAAAGAGCUAAGCGGAUGUUUUGUAAAAAGGAUUUUCCAGCGGUUAGUAAGGUGUUUCUGUGACAGGUAGAGUAGAUAAACCGACUUUUGUGAAGAACUUUAGCAUUGAAAAAAAAAAAAAAACUUCUGUGAAGAACUUGACAGUGAGGCACAGAUCGAUGUACUGUCUAGAUAGUGUGAAGCUUGUUAUCGAUGUAAUUAGGUCUAAACUUAAUGUAGGCAGUAUUACGUGACAGUUAUGUGAAUGCUGUGUUGAGUUUGAUAUUGAUCAUGUUUUGCUUGCUAGUUGCAGGAGUUGGCAAUUGCUCUAGUGUGUAAAGUGCAGUUUCAAAUUUCUUGAACUGCGAUUUCCCGCCCAUUAUUAUUGUCACACCUAUAGUAUAAUACACCUUGUUCAUAACCCAAAAGCCCCUAUCAGUUUUAUGAAGAUGCAUAGCUCUGAAUAAAUCGCAAGAAAAGCAUCAAUAAUUUUUCAUAGAUGAACUUUCUCAGAUAAAUAUGUAAGAUCAAUACCUUGCCAGCAAAUAAUUUUCAGGUAGAAAGCAAGAAAUGGACUUAACAUAUAAAUCGUUGCGAAUUAAAAUGCGUGGCAUUCUAAUAUAAUCAUGUCCACUGCAAGGUGUUGGGUGUUGGGGUGGACUAGAGGCUAAACUCGAUCUGUACAAGGAAAAAUUCGAAGUGUCAUAUGUUCUCCCUGGACUUUUUGUUUAGCAAACUAGCACCAACAAAAAAAACUAUACAAUUGUCAUAAAAUAAAGAUGCUGUAAUUUAGAGUGGAAGAUAACUUUAUGUUAAGUCUUUAGUUUCAACAAUCAAAUUUUGCGAGUGAUCCCCAACUAAGUGUGAUAUCUCAUUGAAAUUUUACUGAUUUUGGUUAACGUGUUGAAUGCCAAGCCUACUUACUACAAACCUUCAUUUCAUCGUAAUAUUUACCAUGUAUAUAUCUUGUGUUUAUGUAGUACAAAUAAGAGCAAUAUUAUCAAUUCUAUAUUCGUGAAGUUUUUACACAAGUCCUAAAUAAGAUCAAUUCUUAUUUUAUGGUUAUCUAAGUGACAUCGCUCGUGUAAAGGGAGGUGAAUAUGUGGUUGUCACAGAGGUGCGUGGAGGAGAGAUUGGUUGUGAAAAUAUAGCCGCAAAUGGCAAAUUAUAAUUCUUACGAAUUCAUUCAAAGUAGAUAAAUUUAUGAAACAAUUAAAGAUGUGAAUUGUAGAUAAAAUUUUAAAGUCAAUAGCGUGAGGAAUAAAAUGAAGUUGUACAUAUGUGCUUACCACCACAUGUAUAAAGUUAGGCCUUUUUUUUCUUUUUUGGUUACAAGUUAGACCUUUUUUUUUAUGAUACAAAAUUCGAUGAGUUGUUGGUCGUAUUUAUGAAACAAUUAACGUGUGAAUCAUAGUAGAUAAAAUGUUUAAGAUAAAACAAAAAGAUAAAAGGAAGUUAUUUUUCAGUGCUUACGGCCACAUGUAUUAAGUUAGACCCGCAGUCCAUCACCGAAUGCAAAGCUGCCACAUCAAUCCAGUCAACUGUUUUUAAAUUCUAUGACCAAAACGACCUGGUGUAACCGUUCAGACAAUUCCUGUUUUAGAAACAAACUGACUCGUUGGCAGUCAAUGGACUCUAUACACGAAGUCACGAACUACAAUUAAUUAGCUCAUCAUAUGAAUCCGACUGCCACCACCCUCUUGGGAUUUCUGCGUUUCUUCUCUCAAGUUUGCGUGAGUUUCUCCCUUACCUCUUCGUCUCCCGUAUCAAUUCUUCUGCAUUUUCAACAUAUGGCUGGGAUUUUGGGUGAGAAUAGAUCAUUGUAACUAAUGAUAGUUUUAUUGAGGGCUUCUUGUUCGUUUUCAAUUUUCAUUCUCAAUCUUCUUGCAUGCUGCUUGAUCACACUUCAGUCACUGCAAAGGUUAGCUUGUAGCUGGUUUAGUAUAAUUCUGUUAGUUAGUGUAUAUCUAUGUAAAUUGAGAAAAUGAGUGACUUAGUUGGGUUUUCUGGGCUCAUGGGCAUGGAAGUAAACAGUAUUAGAUGAUAUGAAUGUCACCGGUCAAAAGCUUUCAGGUGAGAAUGGUUCUGUUUUUUUUUUUUUUAAAGGAGUGAGAAUGGUUCUGUUGAAACCAUAAGAACCAUAAGAACUCACCCAGAUAGAUGUACUGGUUCUUUUAGAUUACAGUUUCAAUUCGUAUUUCACAUUAAUAUUUCUAGCGCAAAUUCCCAGCAUGCUCAAUUUGAGAUCAAGAUGGGAAUAAAGUGUGACCAGCUGGCUGCCAUUUGCUCUUAUUUUUACCUAUGUGUGUAUUUCUUCACAGUAGUUAAAUAGUAAACUUACUUCUGUUGGGAUAUAGCUGCACAAGUGAGGGGUCGAGAGGGGGAGUAUCAGAUUGAGUUACUACCAUAACUUUUUGUGUCUGACAAUUGUUUGCUUUGUUGAAUAGGUAUCAGCAACCUUCACAAUUGAAGUCAUCGGCAACUUCCAGAUCACAAAGUAUAUCUCUGGUGUCAGUUACAAAGCCAGAUUCCUUUGCUUCAGUAGUAAUUCCGUAAGUUCCACAUUCAGAAAAAAAAUUAGCAUAAUUACUGCGUGAUAAACCGUACUAAAGUCCGAGGACAGUUAAGUUAGUUGCUAGUACUCGAUUGUAGCGCGUACAUAUCCGUGUCUAUAUAUAUAUAUANNNNNNNNNNNNNNNNNNNNNNNNNNNNNNNNNNNNNNNNNNNNNNNNNNNNNNNNNNNNNNNNNNNNNNNNNNNNNNNNNNNNNNNNNNNNNNNNNNNNNNNNNNNNNNNNNNNNNNNNNNNNNNNNNNNNNNNNNNNNNNNNNNNNNNNNNNNNNNNNNNNNNNNNNNNNNNNNNNNNNNNNNNNNNNNNNNNNNNNNNNNNNNNNNNNNNNNNNNNNNNNNNNNNNNNNNNNNNNNNNNNNNNNNNNNNNNNNNNNNNNNNNNNNNNNNNNNNNNNNNNNNNNNNNNNNNNNNNNNNNNNNNNNNNNNNNNNNNNNNNNNNNNNNNNNNNNNNNNNNNNNNNNNNNNNNNNNNNNNNNNNNNNNNNNNNNNNNNNNNNNNNNNNNNNNNNNNNNNNNNNNNNNNNNNNNNNNNNNNNNNNNNNNNNNNNNNNNNNNNNNNNNNNNNNNNNNNNNNNNNNNNNNNNNNNNNNNNNNNNNNNNNNNNNNNNNNNNNNNNNNNNNNNNNNNNNNNNNNNNNNNNNNNNNNNNNNNNNNNNNNNNNNNNNNNNNNNNNNNNNNNNNNNNUUUAAGAAUUUGAGGAUUUCUACUAUUUUACAUUAGUAGAUGACUUCUUUUAAUAAUCUCAACCGUUGAUCCUCUAGAUUCAUAUGCAAGAAAUAUGUCUACAAAAUUUCAACUUGACACGACCCGCCUCAAAUUUCACCCUGAAACCCGGAGUAAGUCGUGCGGGGACCACCUCCAAGGAAAAUUUUACCGAAAAGAUUGGUAAAACCUCCCUUGAAAAUGGACAACCCUAACUCGAAAAUUCAAAUUUACACUCUUACUACAACACGUCCAAACUUCACAUAAAUAUCCAGCUAAUAAAAGCAAACAUUAUCCUUCAGAGAUUCUAAACAUCAAAUCAACAGGCCGAGCACACCACCGAAAUAAUAUACAACAAUCCCAAAGUAUCCAGAGCUACUAGACUAUAGCGGAAGCAAGAAAACACGAGUAGGUUGAACAAGUAACCUACUGAUGAAAACUAGCAAAAAUGCGGGUGACUAUGCCUCGCCUCCUACUAGAUCCAACCCGAACUCUGCAAACUGGGCAUUUUUUUAAAACGAAGGGCCCAGGGGAAAACAUUUAAUAACGUCAGAGUGAGUGGACAAAAAUAAAUUAAAAAAAUAAAAUAUUUAUGUUUCCCCGACUCAAUUCCCAAGGAAAAAUCGAAUGCAUGCCGCAAGCGAUAAAACUUUAAUCUCAUAAAAUAUCGAGCCUCUCAGACUCUAUAAUAUAUGUAUGUAUUCACACACGUCUAUACUCCCUAUAUAAAUUCAUAGGUCUAUAUAGGGCUACUACGCUCGCGUCACGCCUUAAUGCGGUGCUACACUACGUCAUUAAGAUGGACAGACAGGUGUAUAAAUAUGUGUCCAUACCCCCUAUAUGAAUUAAACACUCAAAUAGGGCUACUACGCUCACGUCCAACGCUCACGUCACACCAUAAUGCGGCUAUAUGCUACGCCAUUAAGGUGGACAAACACAUAUGGCUAGCUAGCAUUUUAUAUACAUACUCUCUCAUAAAUACAUAUUUAUAUCCACCGAAAAUUCCAUUUUCGGUAACUCUCCAAGAGAAAUAAAAUUCGUCAAAUUAAAAUGACGUCAAAAUAUUCCGCAACAAUUAUUGUUCAACCAUGAACUCUAGCAUGCAUUUUAUUUAAAACAAAAAUCCACUCACAAAUUUGGCCUAAGCCUGAUGUUGAUCUGGGGCCUCGUCUGCUCGAGCCUCCUCACGUCCUGAUCCAAAAAUAAUAUUAAUUUCCCAACUAACAAUCCAAUGUUUAAUCAAAAUAGGCAAAAUUACCCGUGAGCCAUAAAUACGCUCAUCAUUGCCUAACUUCGAUAAUCUUAAAUCGAAACGAUCCGAACUUAAAUAUCAUACUCGGCAGCCGUAAAUACAACCUCCCCAAAAAAUACGACUUAAAUCCUACGGCCGGAUUCUACAUUAAUUAACCGCCAAAAAUACCACACUUCGGAAAUUCAUAAACAUAUCCAAAACUCAUCCAAAAAUUCCAUAACUCACUUCAAUAAACUCCCCCUAAUAUUCCAAAUUUAACAACAUUAAAAAUCUCCCAACCGGCGGUGGCCGGAGGCCAAUUCCGGCAACCUCCAAAACCUAUGAAAUUUUGACAGCAUCUUCCUCUCAUCAUGCUCUACAACUUUCCUAACUAGCACAAACCCAAAAUCCAAGCCUAGCUAUGCCAAUCGAACAGAAACAUCAAAAACGCUCUAGAAUUUCAACUUCACAUUUCUCCUUACCUAGCUUAAGAGAGGGUGAGCUGUUUGGAGGGGUUGCUACACGGGAGGAGGGCUACAAAACGAGCCAAGGAUCGCCAGUUUUGGUGGCCGGAGGAGGGAGCUCCGGCGAGAGAACCACCACGGCAGUUAGCGGCUCCGGGUGUCGUUGCUCUCUCACGACGGCGCUAGGGGAACUGCUACCAGCCUAGAAUGAAAGCUGGGUUGGAGGCUGACCGAACGGGACUGGUGCGGUAGUCUCAGGCGGCCGGACGGCGGCGGAUGAGCGGCCGGAAGGUUUGGCUGCGGGAGGGACUCGAGGAGAGAGAGAACCGGGAAGAAAAGAGAGAAGAGAGAAAAUGGGUUUGGGCCUCACACCCCAAACUGGUCCAACCCAAUUCCAAAAAUAAAACACCCCGAAAAAAUAAUACCCGAAUAAAAAUUACAUUUUACUAUCUAAAAUUUACCAUUUUUACCGUCGUCAUAACUUUCUCCUACGAAUAACUCUCCGAAAUAAUCGUCCCCCGAAACCCCUCUAGGGACCAAUUAAACUAUUAUCUCAAUGACGGAGAUGGGAAAAUUCUUAUUAUAAACAAGCUAGUAAAUAAGGUAAAAAUAUAAGAGUCGGGAUGUGACACAACUAAUUCCAUAAUCAUUUGGUCAUUCAAAAUGAUGUAAACAAUUGUAGGCCGUUAAAUAAAAUUAAAAUGAACAUUGUGUUAAUCAAAUGGUUAAACGUUUUUCAUUUUGGCUAAUUUUUUGUAUGAUUCAUAUGUGGGUAAGUAACUAGGGAAUGGGUGGCUUUGAUUGUCAAAAUAUAUGCUAGAACUAAAAACAUCCUUACUUUAAGAGUUUAAUAAGGUCCUUUGUAGAUCUGGACUAUAUAUAUAUAUAUAUAUAUAUAUAUAUAUUAUAUAUANNNNNNNNNNNNNNNNNNNNNNNNNNNNNNNNNNNNNNNNNNNNNNNNNNNNNNNNNNNNNNNNNNNNNNNNNNNNNNNNNNNNNNNNNNNNNNNNNNNNNNNNNNNNNNNNNNNNNNNNNNNNNNNNNNNNNNNNNNNNNNNNNNNNNNNNNNNNNNNNNNNNNNNNNNNNNNNNNNNNNNNNNNNNNNNNNNNNNNNNNNNNNNNNNNNNNNNNNNNNNNNNNNNNNNNNNNNNNNNNNNNNNNNNNNNNNNNNNNNNNNNNNNNNNNNNNNNNNNNNNNNNNNNNNNNNNNNNNNNNNNNNNNNNNNNNNNNNNNNNNNNNNNNNNNNNNNNNNNNNNNNNNNACUAUAUAUAUAUAUAUAGUCUGUUUCUGGUGCGGACGUCCGUACAGGUUUUUCGUACGGAUUUCCAUCGUUUCUCCACCUUUCCAGCGCCGGCGACGCCGUUUCUUCUCCCCGGUGUGAUCUCAGACCUCCUCCGACGUUGUUGGAAUGAAGAAGAAGGCCGGAGAGAUCGCGAUCGGAGGUCUACCAUGAUCGGUUGUGAAGUUCUGAGUGAGAUUGCUGCACAGACCUCCGAUCGCGAUCUCUCCGGCCUUCUUCUUCAUUCCAACACCGUCGGGGGAGGUCUGGGAUCACGCCGGGGAGAAGAAACGGUGUCGCCGGCGCUAGAAUGGUGGAGAAAUGGCAGAAAACCCGUACGGAUGUCGGCACCAGAAACAGACUGUAUAUAUAUAUAUAUAUAUCUAUAUAUGUAUAUAUAUAUCGUUUUUAUUCGAAAUUCGGCGAAAGGUUUGUUAGGACUAUGUGUUCGAAUUAGCGUUACAUUUGUGAAUUGUCAUUUUCUUGACCUUUCCGAUCGAAAUUUAAAGUUGUUUAGAAAACUUUGUAUCAUUAUGGAUUUUGUUCUCUUUCUCUAUCGAUCUUUUUUUCUUUUCCCAUUAUGAUGAGUUUCUCACUUCGUCAAAUUGUCGCGGCUGCUUAUUGAUAGGGUGAAGCUAACUGUCCUCGCAUCUAUCUUCUGGCAACAAUAUAAUUUAAAGUUUAUGAAAUACUAAUUAGGUUGUGUAAUUGUGUUACAUAUCUAGUGAUUUUUUUACCGUUGUGUCAAAGCAAAUGGAGUUGCCAGUAAAACAAUAUAUUUUUUCGCUAAUUGAUGCUUAUAGAAUAUAUACUUGUCCGAUGUGAGUAGUCUUAUUAUUAUCUCGGGACAUACUCCAAAUGCUUCUUAUAAUCACGGGUUUAGACUCAUGUCACCCUUAUAUUCAAUAGUAUCAUUAAUCAAGGCUCGAGAGAAUCCGUACUAGCCCUUCAUUCAAAAAAUAAUAAUUCUAUACUUUUUAUUUUUUGCUUUAUGAAGAUAGAUUCAUGUAUAGUGAAAGAGAGAAUUAUACACAUUUAUGAAGAGAAAUAUUUUUAUUUACUUUCCAAAUUUGUGAUUUUGAGUUAGUUGCUAGUUUGAUGAAACAUAUUCAUAUAUGUUUUUAAUUAUUUGGUGAAAAGUUUGUUUGGACUAUGUUUCUAUAUUAACGUUACUUUUUUUUAUUGUUCGUUUUGACCUACAAUGUAAUUUUCACCAAAUAUGAAUUAGAAAAACCCGAAAAUGGUAUCUAAAGAGAGAAUUUAAUAUUCUUAACGUUGUGUUUGGAUGAAGUAGUUUCAAUUUCCAUAGAAAUUGGAAAAUCAUGGAAAUUACAAUUUCAUGAAUUUAAAUUCCAUUAAUCGGGAAUUUCAUUGUUUGGAUUUCAUGAUAUAGAAUUUUAAAUGAUAAGAAUUUGUAUUUAGACUAACCUCAAUCGAGAGAAUUGACAAAUGACACCUAUUUUGUAAGGAAUUCAAGUUGGGAAUUUAAGUUUUCAAAUUCCACAAUUAUUUUCCUGUGGAAAUUGCUAAUUCCAUUGGAUAAGAAUCUAAACGGGGGAAAUAAUUCUAAGAAAUUAGGAAUUCUUAAUUAUGGAUUAAAUUCCCGAGAAUUCACCCACAUCCAAACACAACAUAAAGAUUUUGUGUUCCCUUUCUUGUUUUUCUUUUCAUAUUAUGUUACAAUUUUUUGAUUUUCGAUUUUCAUUAGGAUUAAGAUUUCCUACAUGUAUCAUGAUGAAAUCGACAAGGAAUAGUUUCUUUUCUUUCCUAAUUUAAAUUUUUUGUGAUCUAUAUAUAUACAAGUCGUUAAAUAUUUGAAGCUCAACAAGAAGGUCAGGAAGAGACUUGUUUUGUUUUUUAGACGUGCCCGUGAUUUGUUAGUUGUUUUUCCGCAGGCAUUGACAACUUCAUAGAUUGCAAAGUGUUAGUCAUAUCAACAAGCUAAACUUCUCCGCUUCGGCAUUCUGUAAGUUCCAUAUUUACUAUUGCUCUCUCUUUAGGCUUUACUUUAAUUUGUUUUGUUAAACCAUUGUGAAUACAUAUAGCUUAUAACUUAGUGAUUACCUAUUCUGUCUUCACAGGUUCUUGAGCAAUAAUUCAUUACCUAAUUGGGUUGUGAGUUGGAAUGGGGUCAGAGGGAUCAUUGCAGCGUACAGGGUCCUCGAGGAAACAUGAUGAGGAAACAUUGGGCUCUUCCCAUUCCAAGUUACUUGACCAUAAAAGGCCAAGAGUCUCUGCCAUUCGUGAUUUUGCGCCAGGGUGUGGACGAUCUACUCACUUCACAACUUCAGUUGGUAGUUCUGAUGAUAUGGCUAGGGAACAUCAUGUCCCUGCCGUUCGUGAUUUUCCCCAAGGAUGCGGACCAUCUGCUCGCUUGACAACUUCAGUUGGUACUUCUGAUGUGGCUAGGAAACAUCAUGUAGGAGCCGUUCGAGAUUUCCCUCCUCAAUGUGGAACAAGUGCGUCUCAGGAGGCCAGAAACUUUGAUCGAGAGGCGCAGUCAGUUAAGGGUGACAAACCAUCAACAUCAUCAAACACUGACAAGACUAAUGUGUAUCGUUCAUGGUGGACAGGAAAAGUUGCCCACAGAUCUAAACCAAAUGGAGAUAUUGGCCCAAUAAAAAAGCAACCUGAAGCAAAUCGUCAGCCAGAAAGAUCUCGGAAUGACUCGGACAAUACUAGAGGAAAGACUACUCAAUUUAGUGCUGCUAGCCUUCGUAACAACAACACAUCUCUCAUCCGAACGAAAGUGACAGAGACACUGAGUCGGUUCAGAGAUCUUUGUAUCGAGAUUGAGCGUAAGAAGUUGAGGGAAGGAGCAGCAAAUCCGAGAAGGAUAGAUUUUGAAGCUGCAAAGAUCCUCAAGAAAGAAAGAGGAUACGUUAAUACAGGCUCACAAAUAAUGGGAGAUGUACCAGGUGUGGAAGUUGGUGACAUUUUUCGUUACAGAAUUGAGCUCACCAUUGUUGGGUUACAUCGCCAGAUUGAAGGUGGGAUCGACUAUACACAUUUUGGUAACGAGUCGCUUGCAACUAGCAUUGUGGCGUCUGGGGGGUAUGCAGAUGAUACGCAUGACUUGAACUCCCUAACUUACACCGGCCAUGGAGGAAGCGUGAUGCACCAUAACCUCCCAGAGCAUCAAGAGCUUAAACGCGGGAACCUGGCUUUGAAGAAUAGUAUCGACGCGGAGAAUCCUGUUAGAGUGAUACACGGGUCUGAGACUUCCGGUGGAAGAAAGCAGUAUGUUUAUGUUGGACUAUAUUUGGUGGAGAGGUGGUGGAAGGAAACGGGGGAUCAUGGAAAGAUUGUUUACAAGUUUCAACUGAACAGAAUUCAGGGCCAGAGAUCGAUCCCUUGGUUGAUAUAACAUAUGAAUUAUUGGUGGUGCAACAACAUCUAGCUAGCUGACAGUUGAAUAAUUUUUGCUGUUCAUCGACACAAUUUGUCAUCUCUUCAUUACUCGUUGAUGGUUGUUGUACCAGUACUGUUCUUUCUUAGUUUGAUUCUGCAGCUGAUUUGCAGCCUUUGUUUCUCACAGAAAUUUUCUAAUUUCUGUGAUGCUAUUGUUUCAAUCAAGACUUCAAGGCCUCGUUUGGUUCAUGAAAAAGAAAGUAGUUGCUACAUUUUUCCUAUGAGAAGGGAAAGAGAAUGGGACUGAAGUUUUCGAAUAACUUUCUAUGUCAUUGGGAAAGCUGAUAACUAAUAUAAUAAAUAUUCUGCUGUGAGUAAUAAAUAUUAAGAAAGAAGAAAGGAAAGUGGUUUAUUUAGAUUUUAGAAUAGUAAACUACAUAUUAGUUACUAACCAAAUAUCAAUUAACAAAAAGGUACAUUAAGCAUAUUAGUAAACAAACAAGGACAAACUUUUACAAAUAAGGACAAAUUGUAAAUGCAUUGCCGUUAUGCAACACGUUAUGCUGUUGCCAUGUGGCAAUGCGCAUUUACAAUUGUGCCCUUCAAACUAAAUGUGCUGCUACUGUCGGCAGUUUACAAACUUCUGCUACUGCGAACUAAAGAAGUUGCUACUGUCGACUGUUUACAACGUUAUGCUACUGCCCCCUGUUUUUACUUUUCUGCUACUGCCCCCUGUACUGUCGGCAGUUUACAAACGUUCUGCUACUGCCUACCGAAUAAGCUGCUACUAUCGACUGUUUACAUACAUUAUGCUACUGCCUUUUGUUUUUACUUUCUGCUAUUGCCAACUAUUUUCAUUUUUCUCUGCUACUACUAUAUUGCCUAUACAUAUAUCAACCAUGGAAUUACUAUAUAUAUAUAUAUUCACUAUUACUGCUGCUAGCCUGCUACUGUAUAUGUCAAUCAUGGAAUCACCUAUAGAGUUGUUGCUACUGCUUUAUAUAUCCACCAUUAAAUCAUUUAUGGAAUAACUGUUACUAGCCUACUACUGCAUAUAUUAACCAUAAACCUCAUUCUUGUUCUAUUCACUCAUGGAAUCUCCUGCCAAUCAACCAAAACCCCCAAAAUUGAAAAUUUUCACGAGCAUUAACAUGCCCAGUCGCAUUCUAAAUCCUUCAAGGUCGCAGGUGACGACAGCGAAGAUCUCGACGUCUCCUGAUCUCUAACCCAAACAAAGAUGAAGCUGACCAUCAUCAAUUCCCACCAAACAUGAACAAAAUGAAAUUGAAUCAGAUAAAAAAAAAAAACAAAGUAAUUGAAGAAGACCCCCAACCAUGUCUCGUCGUUGGUGAGGCAUUAGUGUUGGAAUCAGAUCUGAUGCACAGAAAAAGUAGUUGAAGAAGAUGCCAAACUUGUUUCGUGGAGGCGUUGCCGUCCUCGUCGCGUCAGCAGCUUCGUUGUCUAGGAGGCAACGCUUCUUGAGAGAGAGAGAGAGAGAGAGAGAGAGAGAGAGAGAGAGAGAGAGAGAGAGAGAGAUAAGAAAAGAAGUAGGAGGAAGGGAAGGAAGAAGAGAGAGAGAGAGACGANAGAUAGAAAAGUAAGAGAGAGAGAGAGAGGAAAAUUAAAGAUGAGAGGGUAUUAUGAUCAUUUGAUAGGUAAAAUUCGGAUAAGGGCUAAUGCCAUUAGUUUUGGGCUUGGGUUGAUGUCUUAAAUUGUAUAAAAAUUACUAGAAGUGGGUUUUUGUGUUUUAAAUUUGGUCAUAUGCUACUAUGUAAUUUACUCAUUUUAGAAUGAACUAUUUUUCCCCAUAAUUUCCCUUCAGCUAGGAAAGUGGUUCCUUUUCUUUUGUUUGCCCAAACACAGAAAAUGAACAACUUUUAUUUCCUGAUGCCUACUUUCCUUUCCAGAUUUGAUGUUAGACUAUGUGAGUAUGUGUAUUGGUUUUUUUUGUUUUUUUUUUUUUUCACUCACAUACCCUUACAUAUGUCAGUGAGAUUUGAAUCUAUAAUUUUAACGUUGUUGGUUAAACUACCUAACCAACCAGACCAUGGCUCACAGACAACUAUGCAUAUUGGUAGGGCUGGGCACGGGCCGAGACCGUCCUACUUUUCAUAGGGACCGGGCUCAAACCGGUAACAGUACAACCAAGCCGGUCUUUACAUCAAAAAAUUUGGGGCCCGGGGAAAGCCCGGCCCGGUAAAAGCCCGAACCGGUUUGGUCGGGUUUCAGGCCUGUUUUGCUUUCAUCGAGAGGAAGAGAAGAGAGGUACCUGAGCGUGAGAGCGUCUAAUUCUCAAGAGGUAAACCCACAAUCAAAAUGAAUCGAUUGGAAUUUGAAAACCACAAUCACAAAAUCAACAAAGUUCAUCAAAGCACCAAUCUUUCAAAUCCAAUUAAAAAGCCAAUUUACCAUAAUCACAAAGCAAGCAAAUUUCAGGGCUUAGUUUGAAGGUACCUAAGACUUUUGUCGUUGAAGGUGACGGCGACAAAGCCCUCUUCUGCCACGCGGAGCUGCCACCGGAAUCGUCGCGUCUUCCGCCUUUUCUGCUGCCACGGCGACUUCCGUAAUUUGUGAGCGAACUCAGAACUCGGCUCGUUGCACGGGAGAUGUGCGCUGGCGUCGCCGAGACUCACGAGGCCCGCAGGCGGCAGGCGUCGUCGAGAGGCACGGAGGCGCGGAGGGCGAAGGGUGAAGGGCGGAGGCAUCUAGAAGAGCAGCGUCUCUGUUUCGUCUCUCAGGUCUCAGCGUCUCUGUUUGGUUUAAACUAUGAAGUUUAGGACUUUUAGGUUUGACUUUACACUAAAUGGACUAAUCAUGUGUGGUUGAGCCUAUCUUACUAGUAUAAGAUUGCUAAAAUUAUCUAAUUGUUGAGUAACACAUACGUAGGUCGGGCUUUCGGGCUUAAAAACUUUUGUAAAAUUAGGGCCGGGACCGGCCCGAGUAUAGUUGGGCCCAGCCCGAAAUGACAGAAAAUAAAUGAGGGCCCGUAAAAAAGCCCGGUCCGGUCCGGUCUUUUUUUUCAUUUCGGGUUUUAUGCCCACCCCUACAUAUUGGUAAAAUAGUUUGUUGCAAUUUGAACAUUUUGCAAGAGAAAUUAUUCUCUGUACCCGGAACACCAUGUGGCACUGCCAUGUGGAGUUUCUAGUCAAUCAUAUAACUCAAUUUCUUGUGGGGACCAAUAGGAGGGUGAAAAAUAAAAGAGGUAAAUAAAUAGACCAAUCAGAAAUAAAAUAAAAACACUUGGAGCAAUAGUAUUAGAGGAGACCAAAUGUCACAUGGUAUUUCGGGUACAGUUUAUAAUUUCUCCAUUUUGCAAUACUCUGUAAUCUAAUUAACGAACUUCGGGUUUGUCAUGCAACUUAACAGAGUAAAUAAAGUGGGGUUUGUCUAUAGAACACUAGUAUGUCACUAUUGCAUACGGCAAAAUAGGGAAGGAUAUCUCCACGGUUCUCACUUCUCACCACACCAAGUUUCCAUUGUGUGAGGUAACAACCUUUUGAAUCAAGAACUAAGCUAAAUAUCGUUUCAAGAAACAAACAAACAAAAAAAAAAAAAAAAACUAGAUACUGUAUGUUAACGAAACCUUAAUUAUUAACACCCAAAAAGGGUCACUAUCUCAAUGGUACAGUAGUACAAUUGGGUGUGAUUGGUGUCAAAUUUCUUGAAUCAGGAAUCAUACAAAAUAAGUUUACUUGACCUACAUUUAUGAACAAAAAGAAGAAAAAUUCAAUGUGAUAUGUCAUCACGGUACCGAGUUUGAAUGUUUGAUAUCCACUAAAAGAAUAUUUUCGUUUUAUAGGCUUUCUUCGAGUACUUGUCUUGCUAAAAUUAGGUAACAUCAAAAACCGAAAGUGAUGGUAAUUUAUGAUCAUAGAAAGCGCAAGCGAUAGCGAAUAGAUGGUAAUAGUUGGCAAUAGAUAUGCAGCUCCAUUCAGUGGUGGUUGAAAGUGAUUGCUUACAAGCUGUACAAGUAAUUAACUCCCCUAAUCAAGACUUGUCUUCUCUAAGGGUCUAGUGAGUAGCAUUACUAAUUGCUGUGUAAUUUAUGUUUCUAGACUAGCUAAUGCGGUAGCUCACAAGUUUGCCAAUUUUGGAUAUGAAAAUAAUGGCCAAAUGGUUCACUACAGCUCUUCAGUUUGUUCAGGAUGCCCUCAUGUACGAUAUUCGUACUCAUUAAUAAAUUUCUUUCUCCUUUAAGAAAAAAAAUGGUAAUAUAGGUCGGCGGAAUUGAGAUCACCAAUGAAAAUGUAGUGAGGACAAAACAGAAAAACCUUAAGCAAAGACUUUACGAAAGAUAUAUUUUAGGGGAAUUUUCAUAUACAUCCAAUUUUGAAGAGUGGUUUUAAAUAAAACCCACUUAAUAUUCAUAUCUGAUAGACAUUUAAAAUGUAUUAAUUAUGAUAAAUAUUAUGUCCUAUUUUUUCUAAAUUUUACACAAUUGCCACCAUUCAAUUAUAACAUAUUAAUAUAAUAAAUAAGUUUAAUUGAUGUUGUUUUAAAUACCUUGAUUAUGAGUUUUUCUUCUAACACUAACAUUUUUCAAUCAAUUUGCAAGAAUCAUAUAGUUUUCUUUAUUUUUAUGAAAAAAAUCUAGAUUAAAGGAAUUCAUUCUCUAAUCUAUACAUGAGGUAAAAUAUAAUAUGAAUAAAAUAUCUGAUCUAAACCCUAAACCCUAUAACCUAUACCCUAUAACCUAAACCCUAAACCCUAAACCCUAUACCCUAUACCCUAAACCCUAAACCCUAUACCCAAUUUUGAGCUUCUUUUUUUUAGGUAUAUUAUCAUAUCAUGCCCUACUUAAUAGGUACAUUAGAAACGUAAGUUGUAGAGAGUAAAAUGUUAUCUCGAUUAGGAUGAGAAAUGAUAUAAUAAUAUACAUAAAAAGAAGAAAAUUAAUCAAAGAACAAUAACGUGUACCUUAUAAUUAGACAUUUUUCGACUAUGUAGAGAGACACCAAAUAUGAGCUUAGGAAUGAAAAGUAUCAUCCUAUUACAAAUGACAUACUUUUGUAUAUAACAUAUAUAUAUACACUCAAGUUAGUAAUAACAAGGUAAGAAAUUAAAGAAUGUAAUUGAUUAUGACAAAGUUAAAUCUAACUAAAUUUUAGCUAGUAUUUGAGUUUCAAAUUGAUGCUAAAAUUGAGAAAUAUACCAAAUUUAGCUUUCUAUAGUCUGAAGGGCAAAUUAAGAAACCGAAAAAUGAAGAAAACUAUUAAUUAUAGACAUUUUCUCUAUAUGGUAUGUUUGCUUAUGUAGAAUGGGUGUAAAAUAAAAAAUAUAUAUAUGUAUGGGUUUAUCUUAAAAAAUGUCUAAUAUUUUAGGUUUUUAUCUAAUUUUCUCUAUAUUUUAUGAAACUAAGAAAGAUCGUGAAGAUUAGGUGUGCGUUAGUGCAUCAAUAAGUGACCAAAAUAACCCUGCCCAACGGUUCGGAUAAAGCUAAAUCCAACAUGAAACUCGUUCCUAUACACACGUAGCUGACUCAGCUGACUCGGUUUGGAAUGUACAAAAGCUACUCCACCCUCUCCAUUUUCAAUGCCUCGUUUUCUCUGCAAUCUUCAGUGAGACACAUAAAAUUUUGCUGGUGAGCCACAGUCCGGUUGAUUAAGUAGGUUAACUGACAACUUUAAGGUCAUGGUUCAAACUUUAUUGGUAUAUGUAAGAUGCGUGAGUUACUUAAAAAAUAUUCUACAGUGACAGAAUUAACAAAAUACUUGAAGGAUACCAUAUUAAUUCAGGGUUCUUUUUUAAUGAAAUUAGGAUUUCAUUUUUCCGAGUCAUGUCCGUUUGUUUCAAUUGAAUCAUUCACCAACAAAUAAUGGAACUCAGAUUAUGUUGCUCAUUUACAGCUUGCCAAUUCUAAUUUUGAGGAAGUUCCUAUAUUUCCAAUAACUGGUAUUUACCAAUUAAGUAACAAGUGGAAGGCAAUUGGAAAGUUAACAAAUUGAACCAAGUAUCCCAUUCUCACUUUCAUUCCAGCUGUGUGCUGCAUCUAUGAUCGCUUUCUGGGUUGGUUGUUGCACUUGUUUGUCAUGAGCUAUGUAAGAGAGUGUUUGUUUCUGAGCUCCAUACCAUGAACUUUGUCCUCUUUGCUCAAUUAUUCCUCGGAUCAGUGAUGCUUACUCUGGACUAUGGCAAUGACGAAGUGACAUAAACUUGAGCCUUUGCUGCUGAUUCAUUUGAAUUUGCUGCCAUAAACUUCAGUGUCAAUUGCUGACUCGUUUGGUGUGGUAGGAUACUGGUGUGAAUAUGGUGACCCUGAAUGAGACUUUGUUUUAGGGGAAAAUUUCAAGUGAUCAUCCCUUCUCCUCCUCCCUAUAAGGCUCACCAGCCAACCUGAGAUGGUUCAAGCACAAAAUGGAUCUUUUUGGAGUAGCGGCAUUAGGCAGCGACAAUACCUUGGGACAAUUUGUUGGUUGUAAAAUCGUACCCAUAACCUUUUCAAGUAACGCCAACUAGCGUUUAGUUGUAAGACAUUUCUCUUCGGUAAGUAAGUAUUGGCCGAUCGGUACAUGCAAGUUCGAUUUUCCCUACCAUCAGUUGAAAAUAACGUGACAUAUAAAUUUUUCAUAUAUAAAAAUUGGCAUAAAAUUUGCUUUUAUUAAGAAAAGGCCAUCAUCUGCAUCUUGGUGAGACAAUAUGGGAUAGGUGUGGCUUAUGAUGAACCAAAUCUAUAAAGGAUUAGGUUGCAGAAAACGUGGGUAAUACCAAAUAAAGAACGAACGAAAUUGUGGUAUUUGAGUCCAUGGAGGGAUGUGUGGAGUGUAGACAUUGGUGUGCUUAAGCAUUGAAGGCAUUCAUGCAUUAUGCCAUAGUAGUCUUUUGCAGCUCGAGCUUCUAAUAUUAAUGGAGGUGAAUGAGAUUUAGAUCACAAAAAUAAAUUCAUAAUUCAUCUCUAGCCAUAGUGGUCUUGUUUCUAUCUCUAGGUAGGCUAAUUAAUCAAGUUGCACUAAGAAACAACGCAUAAAACCACAUUUGAACGCCUAGUGUCACUUUUAUUAAUUUUUAGUUGAAACCGAAGGAUCAAACGUCUGAUCUGGCCUAAAUCUAACUGUAUUUUAGAUUUUUUAAGGUCUUUCACUAUCAUUAAUUUAUCUUCUGAAGUAUAAUAGGACACAUUAGAUAUUAGACAUGCAACCAGAAUAGUAAUUAGCAAGUAGGGGACUCGCGAUCGACAUCAUUAUCAUAUGAUGAUAAUGAUACUUGAGAAACUGACAUUCCCAAAACAUAUACAAGAUCACAGGCUUUUGUUAGAAUCGAUGAAGUAAUUUAGGGUUUAUAUCUAAAAUUAUGUGAGAUUCAUAUCUCAACACGUCCCACCACGUGUGUGAAAUUUUUAAGUCAUUCACAUAGACAACUAGUGAACUAUUGGGUGAUAUGGAGUCCGUGUGGCCAUUAGGCAUUCACAUGUGGACAUGAGUAACCAGCUCUAAUACUAUGAUGAAGUAAUACAUAAAUCACAUCCACAACUAAAUGAUAAUAGAUGGAAUAACUCAAAGUCUCAAACCUUAUAACCUCAAAAGGCAACAUUUCAUAUUUCCCGUGUGGUAUUCAUAUCUCAACAAGAACAACUAGUUCUCUGUGAUAAUUUUAAGUUGCCUGUUGUGCAAUCUUGUUGCUGAAGAAUUAAGUAGUAGUAGUCAUGCUAAGCAGGCAAAACAUAUAACAAUAUUCUGCUCCACAAGCUCUGUGUGGGAGGAGCCUUUGCUGUUACACAAUGCAAGUUGCCUUUUCGAAAUGGUCUCUGAUAAUGUAGGUAUGGCUCAAUAAUUUAAGUAAUGAAUUCAAUACCGGCCUCUGUCAUUAAUGAAUUCAAUGCCGGCCGAGCUGAUCCCUUUAAUGUAUCUUCAUGACUGAUUUUCACCAAAAUGUAACUAGUACUCACCCAGAGAAUCUUAGCAUUUGUUACUAGAUUCAUCUAAAGCUACCCUCUAAUUGUAUGACAGAUUUGGCAACAAAUUCUGCGCUCAAGUAUUUGUUGAAAUGGCUCUGAGGAUUUCUUGUUACUGAACUACGUACCAUAGCUAUAAUACAUAAUUACAUAUAUGCGUUUAUUCGUUUCCAGAAACUUGUACAUAAAUUGUGAUGAAUCAGAUCAAAUCAAUCAUAGAGAUAGAUUAAUGAGAUUGAUACAGAAACAUAAUAGAAUGUAUUAUAUAUUUUCAGCACUAACUCGGAAAUUAGUCCUCCAAAUUAGGAACUGUAACAAUCACUGAAUAAGCACCCUCCCGAUCAGCUGAUGAUGGCACUGCCAUAACAACUCCACCAGAAAUGAAUCCAAACCAAUACGAAACACUAGCCGGCUUAUUCCCUUCACGAAAUCCGACCUCCUUUGCCCCGAAAAAAUCCCAUCCCGCUUCAGCAAUUCCCUUAAUUUUUGGCUUAGCAAGUCCUUCUUUUCGAAAAUUCUCAACCUUGACUGCACUGCAGGAUGAGCUGUUGAUCUUCACAAACAAUUUCCCAAAACCAUACUUGCUCUCUGCUUCUUCAACACAAAUUUUCAAUGCAUCAUCGUUCUCCGAAUCCACAUUCUCAGCUGCAACAUUGAAAAUCAUUGUCUUGCCACAUUUUUUGCUAGGAAUAGAGACAAAUAUAUUGUUGGCAGACUUUCCAUUUUUGCCAACAUGUCGGAAAUUAUAAAAGGGUGUCACAGUUAGGCUCUUGUCUGAAAGCAGAUUGUGGUGGAUAUUAGCCCAUUUCUUGAGAAAAUUUUCUUUGAACAAAAGAUCUGCUAGAAGAACACUGCAGCUAAUUCCUAGUGAACUCCCUCCACACUGAAAAUAUGUCACCUGAGAAAGGAAAAAAUAAAAAGGGCUGAAGUGAUUCAAUAUAUCCCAAAAAAGAAGGAAACAAGAAAUAAGUACCUGAACAUAAAAGAGAGGAGAGUACUGAGGACUAUGUUCAUCAAUCGUUUUCCAAAACACAAGUUCAUCUUCUGCAUCCUCCCUGCUGGACUUGUAAGACAGAAACUCAGCCAUGGUCAUCGGAGUACGAGCUUCGAUGAGUCUAAUGCCGCUGUCAUUGGCCACAACCUCCAGCUCUCCACUAUCAUUCACACGAAAUCGGCCAGCAAAUAGCGGUUGCUCCACCAACGCCCUCGAAAGGGACUCCUUGAUCCAGCCGGCAUGGAGCCAACUUGAGUCCUCUUGGGUUGCUUUUGUGUAGUAGAGAAGGAUGUGCAGGCAGUUUUGGAAUAUUCCCAAACUGAUCGGGUCUGCGGCCGACACGGCAAGUGUCGGUCGCGGAUCGGUGAUCUUGAAGGGUGUUAUAGUCUGGACGGAUUCAAUGUGUGCUUUUGGGAGGAGCGUGGUGACACCACUGGAAAUUGCCAUUUUGAGAGGAACUGCUAGAAAGCUAUUACCAAAGAACAAUGUAGCAAGCACUCUAUUAAUAUAUGCACAGGCAGGGGUCGCGUGUGUGAUUACCUAACAUGUUCGUACAUAUAUUUCUUUGCAUGAAAAUGAUUGGUUUCUCAUUUUACUUGGCAUACAUUUGGAUCCCAUACAUUUUGAUAUGCUUCUUUGGUCUCAUGAAGGACUUUUGGCUGCUCUUUUUGUUGCAACACCUUUAAAUUCUAACCACUCAUUGAAGUAUUGAACUGUUUGAUAGUUACUAGACAAGGUUCAACACAUAUCCCCAAAUUUGGCUAAAAUUAAAAAACAAAUUUACCAUUUUGGUGUUUUUGUUGAGAAUAUAAAGGCCGAUCUUGAAUAUUCAGCAGUUCAAAAUGCCAUAAAUUUUACAUUUAAUUGUUUGGGGCCUUAAGUUUGAACUUAUUUGAUUGACCAAAGGACUCCUUCUGCCCACGGCAAUCAGAGAAUGAUCUUGGGCUGGGCUGGAGGGUCGUCGUCCGGUAGUUUGGGGCUGGGUCGUAGAGGAUGAGGUGACGGGUCAGAGCAGGCAAAGAACAACGACGAUAGGAGGCUAGAAGCCUUUUAUUUGGGAUGCCCACUUUAGUAGGUGCCUUGAGUAGAAGUAGGGUUGCGCUUAGGCUAAGGCCGGGCUUCUGAAUCCCGACCGAGUUUGGAUCCAGGUCCGGCCUUUUCUUGGAUUUGGAAUAUGGCUGUCAGAACAGUUGGGUCUGGGUCUGGAGCUGUUUUGGAAUUUUUUUUGAUUUUCAUUUUAUGUUUAGUUUAUUUUUGUUUUUACUUUCUAUAUUUCAGUACUUUUAAGCAAGGCAUCAAUGUAGUGUGCAUGAUGAAUAUCAAUGAUCUGUUACAGAUUUCUGGUACUUAUGCUAUCGCAGCUUUUAAUCAAGCCAACUCGGUGGCUCUGCAUUUAGAAUCCUUUAUGUCUUUUAAUUCUGUAACAUUUUUUUUAGAAAAAAAAAAGGGAAUUGUAUUGCUUCAUCAAUAUCCGAAAGGCAUUGCCCAGUACCAUUUGAUCUUAGUGGCAGAAGUAUUUCCUUGUAAGUGAGAGGUCAUGUAGUUUUUUUUUUUUUUUUAAGUUUUUUAUUAAUAACUCACACACCUUACGUAUGUCUGUGAGAUUUGAACUCAUAACCUCAAAAUUGUCAGUUAAACACCCACUACCAGGACAAGCACUUUAGCCGACGAAAAAUUUUCGUCGGCCUGUUAUAUUAAUUCGUCGGCUAAGAUCUUAGCCGACGAAGGCUCGUCGGCUAUAGUGUCGUCGGGAAAAGCUCGUCGGUGAUGACUUUAGCCGACGAAAUUUUUUUUUUCGUCGGCUAUAGUCCCACAGUUAGCCGACGAAAAACAUGUCGUCGGUUUUUUUCCCAGACUUUAGCCGACGAAACAAUUAAUAUAUUCGUCGGCUAAAUUGUGUAAUAAAUAAUUAAAAAUAACUAUAGCCGACGAAAUUUACUAUAUUUCGUCGGCUAAACCUUAUAAAAAUUUAAAAAAAUAACUAUAACCGACGAAAUAUACUAUAUUUCGUCGGCUAAAACCUUAUAAAAAAUUAAAAAAUAACUAUAGCCGACGAAACAUGCCAUAAUUCGUCGGCUAAACCUUAUAAAAAAAUUAAAAAAUACUAUAGCCGACGAAUAUAGUGUUUAAAUAUCGUCGGCUAAAGUUUCUGGGUUUUGAAAAAAAAAACUGCAGAAACUUUCGGCCACCUCCAAUCACGACCAAAAUUUGACAGAAUCUUCCUCUCAACAUUUCGAACAACUUUAUAGAAGAAAUCGAAGCUCAAUUCUAAGCCUAAACAGGUCAAUCGACUCAAAAUAUAAAAAUCCCCAAUUUUAAACCCUAAAAACUUCAAAUCUUCGAUUCUCUUCACACACACCGAAUCGAGCUACCAAAUUCUAGGGGAAUGUAGUACUAAUCAAACUCAACUUAUCCAUAUAUAGAACUCACCAAAUGGUGACCUAAGGAAGGAGAAAUUUGAUCGACACCGAAUCCGAACCGGCGGAGUUUUGGAGCUCGAUUUAUCCCUCACGGCGGCGCCACUCGAUGCACCACCUAUCCAGCAAUGAAGUAGAGACGACGGCGAAGCUUUUGGGACUAGUGUGACGGUCUCCGGUGGCUUGACGGCGGAGCAAGGCCGAGAAGAAAAUCUGGCAGAUAAUAGACUUCUUACCAUCCAUCUUCGCCUAUAUAAAGAACUUUAGCCGACGAAAUUCUUUAUUUUCGUCGGCUAAACUCUUUUGAAAAUUUUGGUUGACCGCCAAAAAAUUUUGGUUGAAAAUUUUGAAAAUUUUGAAAAUUUUUCGACUUUAGCCGACGACUUUUCAUAUAUUUUCGUCGGCUAAAGUCCUUUGAAAAUUUUCCUCCAACUUUGGUUUACCGCCUAAAAAAUUUUGAAAUUUUUUGAUCUUGGCCGACGACUUUUCAUAUAUUUUCGUCGGCUAAAGUCUAUAAAUUCACGAAAACGCUCAUAUCUCCCCCUAUAUUACGUAAUUUGGUCAAACCUUCCACACCAAAAACUCUCACGUAGAUGAGACGCAACUGCCCAUAUAAAAAUUUUGAGACAUUUACCUUCCGACGAUAGGGCUCCCCAUAAGGAAUAAUAACGGUAAAUAGGGUUGACCGCUACUAUCGGCUCCGAGACUUUACCCGAUUUACGUGAUUUUUGAACCAUAGCCGUAUUUCACCAUUCUGAACACAUCUUAUUUCACGAGAUUUUUCAUAAUUUUGCUUCCUAUGUAGAGUUGGUUCACAAAGUUGUAUAACCAACUAAACAAGUUAUACAACAUUAGUAAACACGUUGUGAUUCCGAUGACUAAAAUUCACAAACCAAAAUUCGACCGUCAGAUAUGAUCAUUAUGACGAAAUAUGUCUAUGGUAAAAAAUUCAACUGGAUCCGACAACGUUAAGGGCUCGAUCGAAACGGUCAACCAUAAUCCAUCGUCACUNNNNNNNNNNNNNNNNNNNNCGAAAAUUUUAAAUUAGCCGACGAAAAAAAAAUUCGUCGGCUAAAGUGGACUUUAGCCGACGAAAAAAAAAUUCGUCGGCCUGGUUUUUUAUUUUCGUCGGCUAAAGCCUUUCUUCUGGUAGUGACCUUAACCAACCAAGUCACGGCUCAUUGACAGAGGUCGUGAGUUUGACUCACAAUAUACUUGUUGUAGCAUAUUAGUUGUUUAUUUGAUAAAAUAUAUAUAUAUAUAUAAAUAUCCAAAAGACACUUAUCAAGUACCAUGACAAGUACAUUUAUUGAUUACAAAUAUGCUCAUAUAGAGCCCGCAACCAAAAAAAAAAUCUUACUACAUAAAUCACUGUAACAGAAUAUCAGCUACCUAAUACCUCAAUCGGUAUGCACCUAAUAAGCUUAAGAAAUAAGUAUUAAAACUGACGUUAAUGCUCAAGCUGAGAACAACCCAAGACCUGCGUCUUGCCCAUGCUCUUAGCAUUAGGGCAAGCCUUAUCACUAACACUAGUUGCAGUCAGCCCAAACCCAUAUCAGUUUCAGCUGAAUCCACCUUAUCGAGCCCACACUCACACCCAUCCGACCCAACAAGUGGGAGUCCAAACACCAUAUCCAGCACAGCCAACUCAGCCACAAUUAACCCUAGGGUAGGGUGUCCCGUCGAGCCAGGCUCUCCGGCGGCUUUCUCGACCAUCAUGAAAAUUGUGUUACCAAGCCUCGCUUGAAGGAUCUUCAAUCCAAUCUCUAAUGAAGCCAUAUAGGUCUGCACCGAACUUACAACCGCCACCACAGUUAAUUGCAACUCGUAACCUCUAUUUAGGACUUCAACCUCCAUCGCAGCCAUAGAUUCGGGCCAACACGAAGGUUCUCAACCUUUCGCAAACGAAACUCCGACGAAGGACGCCGAAACACGUCCACCUACAACACCCUCAACAGAACGCCACUACUGGAACCUUAUGAAAAGCUUGGUCGGCGUUGCCGCCAUCUUGCCAUUGUUGGAACGACGAAGCACAAGGUUAGUCGCUACGUCCAUGAAACCUAGGUUUCGUAUUGCCAAGGCACUUCGUAAGAGACGGAGCAUAGGCCUUAUUCAGCUAGGCUCUCCAACUUUACGUUUUAUUUUAUUUAUGAUGGAACUGUUAAAGAGUUUAUUUCUAUUUGAUAAAGGUUGUCAACUAGCUUCGAAAAAUAGUAAAAGAUAGCUUAUGGUUUACGAAAAACUGAGUUUAUAUAUGCCGUAUUUUAUAAAUUCCCUCUAUUACUUUUGUAUGUGUUGGGUGAUUGUUGGAGGACCAUAUUCGAUAUAUUUUCCUUGAUGGAGGUAGGAUUUCAUUGUUGGAGGACGGUACGAAGUGGCAGUUGGCCAGUCUAUGUGGUUGAUUGAAUGUCACCGGCCGGUACCUUACAAUUUUGAGGUACACAUGAAACGAAUGGCAUUUUCACUUAAAUAAAUGUAAAAUUGGAUUUUGGGGUCUAAUUAACACCUAACUGCCCUCUACCCCAAAAACCUGUGGUGUCUAAUCUCACAAGAUGUACUCAUGUUGUUUACAAUCUUGGCAUAUUUAGGUUGCAGGUGUAACACAUAGACCGUGUAAUAGACAAACAAAAAUAAGGAUGAGAUAGAUAACACCCUAAUUUCUUUUUUUCUUCGUGGGGUUUGCAAUAAAUUGAAAUAUGAGUUUGGCAUCAAUAGUCGGUCAGGAGGUCUCAAUCACUGCAUUAACUAGAAAGUAUAUAAUUAUUUUCUUGACAAUAACUCUAAAGAUAUAGCAAAUGGAAAAACUAUGCAUAAUAUGCAUCACCCCUCCUACUUAAAAUUAAAAUUAAAAUGUAUAGAAAAAAAAAAUUAUCUCUUUUCUAAUAUCAAAAAUAUUAUUCAUUACGUUGGAGCCACUAGAAGUCAAUCUCUCUCGUCGGAUUUAAGAGCUCCUAGUGACAUGUACAUAUUGUUAUUAGGAGCAUAAAAGAGAAUGUGAUUGCAGUUCUAGCGUUAUAUUAAAGACAUUGUUUUCUUUGUUUUUGAACAAUAAGGACAUUGUUAUCUAUCUUGAUUUGUGUUUCAUUUUUCUUUUCUUUUUCUGUGUGGCUAGAAGUUGGGAACCGAGUAGACGCAAAUAGGCAAAUAGCCUUCUUGGUUCCAGAUUUUAUUAAAAGAAAGAAAGAUUACAAGAGGAGAGGAAAUGAAACAACACCAAACAUCUUAAGUGAACAAUUAAGUUAUAAAGGACAUGGCUUCUCUGCUUGGAAAAUAUAGUGUUUGGAUCUGCUUGGGUUUCUAACAAGAUGCCACGUCAUUGUUAAUCCAUCCAACGCUUCAGAAUUAAAAAGGGGUGUAAAACUAAGUUGCUUCAGAAAAGCAGUUGAUAAUUGUCUCUCUCUCAUCUCUUCCUUUCCCGGCAGAAGUCUAUGCAGCAGUCUCACCUGCAAAAAAAAACUCUAGAUAUCUUCUUCACUAACUUCUUUCCUGAUCUAGAAGAUUAACGUAAAUGAAAUCAAUUGGGUUGAGAGUCUCAUCUCCUCCAAUUAAGACGAAUAAAACUCCAGAGUUUAGAAACUCGUAUACAAUGACCCAUCACCCAUAGAUUGACGAGGCUCCACCCAGAAAACCAAAACAAUUAAGAAGAAUGAUGAAUCUGUAAGCGAACUUCAGAUUUACAAUCACCCAUGCCUUAGAUUUGAGGAACCUUUCACCCAUGAAGAGAUCUCGAUUAAUCCUAAUAGCAUCAAACCAGAAACAAAAUUCUUUCUCUUAUUUAUAUGAAUGACACCUAUUUUGGGGUGGACUGAUUCACACAAAAAUCAAGAUUUGUAUGAGAAAGAACGGGAUAGUAUGAGAGGGAGAGAGAGAUCCGGUGCUUCACAAGAAGGUUUGCAAUUUUUAAAGUCUUGAUUUUAGCUUUUGGAUUGUACUAUAGUGAUGUGUCACUCUCUUGUUGAACCUCAAGUAGAUCAAAGCAAUUAAUUUUUCAAGCAGAGAAGACAUGUCCUAUAAAAAAAAUUAAAAAAAUUAUACAAAUCAACUAUUAAAAAUGAAAAUAAGAUAAACUUAAACGGUCACUAUUAUAAUGCGUCUGGAAGAAUGAUGAAUAUACAAGUUUCACCACAUAUCAAACUAAAUGAAAAUAAGAUAGACCUAAAUGGUCACCAAAAUUUUCCUUCCUGAUGUUAUUCCAAAUUUUCUUGUAAGAUUUAUGAUCUGGGACAAUUGUAGGCUUUCUGGUCUAUUGUCAUACACUGGAUUACGUUAUGGUCAAAUUGGUGGCAACAAUCCACAGCCAUUUGCCUCACGUCUAGUCCCACAAGCCAAAGACCAAAACCCAACUCCAAGCCACAAAUCUUUCCCGGGUAAAAUUGCAUCCACUAAUUUUCCAUGGCGGGUUGGCUGACCAACACCUCCUCCUUCACUCUCAAACUCUCUCAUACUACUAUCACUUCUCUGCGACUCCCGCGAGUUACACAUAAACACAAUCUGACCAACAAUGGGAAUAGUCUCUUUGUCCCUAGUUCUUCACAGCCGACUUGUUUCACCAUACCAUUCUCAAACUAGACCAAUUCGUCUUAGUCAAUCUAAUUGGUUCCAAGCUCCAAUCCCAGCAAGAACCAAACACACUUCUUUAUCAAUCAUCAGAGCUCAAUCUGGUGCCCGCAAGGAGGAAAUUGUCAUAGUUGGCGCUGGAAUCGCCGGCCUUGCCACCGCUCUAUCUCUUCACAGGUAACAUUGGUUUCGGGACGUUGAGUUAUGUUGUGAGACUGUCAAUCUAACCCCGGCAUUUUACCAAAACUUUGCUAAGCAAACUUUCACAUUUUCCGAGGGUAUUACCACCCGUUACAAAUUGCAAGUGUGGAUAUUUUUUUUGGAUCCGGCUCCUCUAAAGUGAGCAAACCAUAAAGUUAGUAAAUUUCAUAAAAUCUCUAACAUCCAUCUAAUCUAAUGGUUCAAAUAUAUCUACGUUAAAUAAAAUCAUUUAUUUGAAAAUCUAUUCACUUUUUUAUAUAAAAAAAAUUUCUCAAAAAAAAAAACAAUAAAAAAGUGGUUGUAUAUCGUGAUAUAUAUCUUCAUCGAUCUUUGAUCAAACGAAUCUUCAUAUCUGAAAUUCUGAAUUGAUAAAUAAACUUGAUGAUCAGCUUUGAAUAGAAAAGAAUAUAUGAAAAGCCUUCAUUUCAUUCAUUCCAAAGUGGUUUCACAAGUUUCUCUUCCUGUAGUCUCUAGACNNNNNNNNNNNNNNNNNNNNNNNNNNNNNNNNNNNNNNNNNNNNNNNNNNNNNNNNNNNNNNNNNNNNNNNNNNNNNNNNNNNNNNNNNNNNNNNNNNNNNNNNNNNNNNNNNNNNNNNNNNNNNNNNNNNNNNNNNNNNNNNNNNNNNNNNNNNNNNNNNNNNNNNNNNNNNNNNNNNNNNNNNNNNNNNNNNNNNNNNNNNNNNNNNNNNNNNNNNNNNNNNNNNNNNNNNNNNCAUUUAGAGUUAUUGUCAAUAUAUAAAAGAAUUUUCUAACAUUUUUUGUAAUGAAUUGAUGCAUGUGGAUAUUUUUGAGCCAUUAGAUUAGAUGGAGGUUAGAGAUUUUAUGAAAUUUACUAACUUUAUGGCUUGCUCACUUUAGAGGAGCCGGAUCCAUUUUUUUUCCUAAUAGUUUGGAUUGUUAGGCUUGGAAUUGGAUCAUUGGUGGUAGAGCAAGCAGAGUCACUUCGAACCAGUGGAACUUCUCUCACCCUCUUCAAAAACGGUUGGAGGGUUUUGGAUGCACUUGGAGUUGGAGACGAUCUCAGAAACCAAUUUCUUGAAGUUCAAGGGUACGGAAAUGUUCAUAAUUUCCUUCUUCAAGCCUUGACCUCACAGUAGCAGUCUGCCAGCAUAAAUUGACUAUUGCCUACUAUGGCCAUUUGGCACAUGCUUAAUCUUGUAGUAGUUUGCAUUGAUAGAUUAAUAGAUAGAAGCAUUUCUUUAGAAUGAACUACUUGUUGAGACUUCGGAGUUGAAGCUUCAACUUCAUAUAAAGCUUUGGAUUCUUCAAAUUACUCAGUUGCCCUGAUCUGGUUCAUGGAAUCAGCUGUGCAGGAUGGUAGUAACAACAGCUGAGGGGAAUGAGCUACGCUCCUUCAAGUUCAAAGAGGAAGAUGAAAGGUAACGAGCUUCAAACUUAAUUCAUCUUCCGUGCUUUUACAGAACAUGCAAAGUUCAAUUCACAAUACUUUGUUCUUCUAACUGAAUCAUGGUUUUCAGCCAAGAGGUGCGUGCCGUAGAGAGGAGAGUACUACUUGAGACUCUUGCCAAUCAACUGCCCCAAGGGGCGGUCCGUUUCUCUUCAAAGCUUGCAAAGAUUGAGAAGAUUGAAGAUGGAGAUACUUUGCUGCAACUUGUGGAUGGUACUCAGCUAUCUGCUAAGGUUGUAAAUGAAUCUUUAACUAGCAAAUUCACGGCUUCUAGGAUAAGUGCCAAGUAUCUCUUUCUCAUGUUUAUGAAUUUCCAACAGAUUGUAAUUGGCUGUGAUGGGAUUCGGUCUCCUAUAGCUAAGUGGAUGGGGUUUCCCGAGCCUAAGUAUGCAGGGCAUUGUGGUCUUCGUGGCCUUGCAUUCUUUCCUGGUGGCCAUAAGUUUGAACCAAAACUGAAUCAAAUCUAUGGAAGAGGGCAGCGUGCUGGCAUUGUUCCUAUUUCUCCUACAAAAGUCUACUGGUUUGUCUGCUUCAACAUGCCAUCUCCAGGUAGAUUACUUGGUCUGAAACUCUGAAGUUUCCAUUUUAAGUUUUCUAGUGUUCUUACGGUGUGGGAUAUUUUAUUACAGGUCAAAAAAUCACUGACCCAGCUGUGCUGAAGAAGCUAGCUAAAGAACUGGUAACAAACUGGCCUUCAGACCUAUUGGACAUCAUAGACCAUACCCCGGAUGACACAAUCAGUCGAACACCACUAGUAGACCGGUGGUUGUGGCCAUCCAUCAGCCCUCCGGCUUCAGCCGGAAGAGUUGUACUGGUUGGAGAUGCAUGGCAUCCGAUGACCCCCAAUCUUGGACAAGGCGCUUGUUGUGCUUUGGAAGAUUCAGUAAUUUUGGCGCGAAAGCUUGCAGCAGCGAUCGAGUCAGGACCAGCAGCCAUUGAAGAUGCUCUCAGCUCAUACGGAAGUGAAAGAUGGCCUCGAAUCUUUCCGCUAACCAUACGGGCAAACCUCAUAGGGUCACUACUGCAAUGGGAGAAUCCUGUUGUGUGUUCUGUCCGGAACAAUGUCAUUAUCCCAAAGCUUGUUAAGCUAGGACCAAUGUUGGAACACACAAAUUUUGACUGCCAACCCCUACAGAAUCAAGUCGUGUAAUGUUGGGGCAAUAUUAAGUUAAAGUUAAAGUUCAUUCAAACCUAAGGGGUAAAGGAAAAUCCAAAAAUGCUUGGAAGUGCCUCGCUGUUAUUGUACAUUCCACCUUAUUGUGUGCAUCAGCUGUCUAGUUGCCUACUCCAUAUACUUCUGUACUAGGAAUUUAGAGAUGUAUAAAGCAACUGCUCAUGUAAAAGUGUGAUAAAAACAGCAUGCAAGCGAACAGUCUUUCAAAUUAAUCCCUCUGGAUAGUAGCCUAGUAAAGCAAUGAAAAAAAUCAAAACUCGAAUGGCAUAGCAAGACUAUCCAUUGAUCAAGUAAAAAUUCCUCAUCUAAUCAGAGUGAUACUGUUGUCGGUAGUGAUGAACUACCUUCUCCGGCCAUAUACUAGUCAAGAAACUUGUAGAUACGAUGUAUAUCUUAUACCGUCAAGCAUAAGCAACGACCUCGUAGACCGUGCUCCGGCCAUGGCGGGCCCCGCCUCCGACAUACUUCCGGUAGACCGACGUCCGGGCUACCCCGCCAUGGUGAAUGAUCAUCAAUGCCACAACAGGAAUGUGCUCCUCCAAGCUCCACAAGAAGGCACCAUGAGAAUAUAUAUGUGUAAUUAGUCCCACAUCAAAAGUAUAAUAUGUGAGGGAACCUUCCUUAGCUAUAAAAAGAAGGCUUCCUAUAUGUAGAAAGCUCUCUCACUCUCUCUAUCUCUCAACUGAUCCAACUUUACUAUUCCACACCUCCACACUUGUAACACCCUAAGGCAUUGAGGCCUCAUGAUAGUAGAUUCAAGUGGACGUAGCCAUGCCCUCCGAUGGUAUGGUGAACCACUAUAAAUGUGGUGUCUUUGUGUAUGUUUAUGUUCUAUCGUACUUCUACAUAGCCUACGGGUUCUUGCAGAAACAGAUACAAAGCAAAUGCAAUUCUGCACUUCUGAAAUGAAUAACUAUCUGAUGGCUUACUUUCUGACUCGACUGUGAAUACUGAAAAGCCUACAAUAAAAAUAUUGUUGAUAGCAAACUAAAUUUUCUGGGUCAUAUCAUCUUACAUUCAUAUAAAUGGCUGACAAGAACUUCUUCUUGAGCAAUAGGGACCGGCUAGUUUUUCUACUCCAACAAUCUUGAUGGGGCUUAUCGGCAUAGAUUGUUUGAUUCCAUGCCGCUCCUUCACUAUCACCAUCAAUCCUCAUAACCUUCAUGCUGCAACAACUGAUUCACAUAAAUUUCUUAGGAUAUACUCAUAGAAGCCACCAUGCAACCAAACAAAAGUGACUAUAAUAAAUAUCCAAAAACUUUUCCAGUUGAAUCAUGAAUGCCUAAAAGCAAUGAAUGAAGCUUCCACAUGUUCCCUACAUUCUGAAUACAAUCACAGACAAAUGCCCGUCACAGUUUCAUGAUGGCAGUGGAAGCAAGUUCUUAUCCAAAAGGAUACCACAAGCCGGCCUAUAACAUUAUAUCAUGAAACAUUCUGCACAUACACUUAAGGAAGAACACAAUAAUAUGUUCCAACAGAACAAAUUCAUGCUAAACACGAAGCUCUAUGAUGAAUCCACAAACAUUGCUUCGUUUCUUCGAGAAAAGUAAUACGUCACUGUUCAGUCUAUCAAGUUUUAAGUAUAUGAACAAGUUUGGUGUCAGAUAUAUGAGUCCAAAAGUCCGGAGAUGAACUAUCCAAGUGAUACGUCCCUGUUUAAUCUUUGAAGCCAAACAGUUCAAAGUUCAAACUACCAACUUCCAACUUAGAACUAACAAAGAACCAAAGAUUGAUGCAUUCACUUAUGACUUAUCUACAUAUCUAAAUCCACAAAUCAUGAACCUUUGCAAUCCAUAUCUCAAACAUAACCACAAAGUUACAACUACAACCCAGAAAAGUCAGACAAGACAUGCGAGGAACAUGGGCAAGAAUGUAAUUGUGUACCUGGAUUGGAGAAGAACCAGAGGAUGAUGGCACAGAGAGCAAGGAUGAGAGGUAUUAAGUGGAUGGCGUUCUCUGCAGACUUGAUGCGAGACCGUUCUUUCUUGGCGGCAUGAGAGAGGGGGUCGUAUGUGGGCAGAUCCACGUCAUGGUGGUGGUGGUGCUCUGAGUCGUGGGUUGCGGUGGUUGAAGAUUGUUGCUUUUGCUGCUGCGGUGAAGCAGUUGAUGAGGAGUUGACCGGGAAGUCCCCGGAGACUCGGGGAGCACUCGCGGAUCUGUGCAUCUUUGCUUUCAACUCUUCUGACCAAAUUAACGCGAUGCACUUGUCAACGGAUCAAGGAUUGGGGACGCCCUUUUAUACUGUCUUGGUGGGUUAAAAGAAUCUACAAAAUUACCAGAGUUCGGUAAAUUUUUAUUUUUAUUUUUAUCUCACCAAGAUAACUAAUCAUGAGUCCAAGAUAGUUGCUAACGUAAUGGAGGUGGGUUGUUACUUCACUCUAGAUUGAAAAAUACAUUGAUUAAUCACGAAACACUAGAUGUAAAACAAUCGCACGCGAGACUAUAUUAUGACAUUUUAGGUGUAAAAGUUGGUUAUUAGAUGCGCACAUUCAGCUCAUGGUUUUCUACUAAUAAUGGAAGACUUGUCAAUAGUGUUUUUGCAAUCACUACCGGUUAUUCCAAUGCGUCGUAAUUUUGUUCUUAACUCAUAAACUUAGUUUGUUUUCGAAAAUAACAAACACAAUACCAUUGCAAUAAUGUUUUUAAAAUCGGUAACCACUUUUUGUUGAUACAACCAUCAGAGAUGUGAAAUGCUUUCGACGACAUAUUCAUUCUAAUUUCUUCCGCUAUGAUAUUCGUACAAUUGAACCUAUGUAUGUUGACCUUCUAAUAGAGGAAAGGAAGGGCACAUGGCACACCCAUUGUAUAGCAUUGCAAAUAAUCUAGACGGAAGACCAACAUUGAUCUAAGCACAUGUACUCAUUUAGGGGGAAAUUGAAAAAUGGACGAAAGUCAUGAAACACUUCUAACUCGAGGGUACUCGUAAGCAAGUUGAAAUGUUUAUGAGAAUGGGUAAUGAUGAAUAUUUAAAGCAGCAUCGAGAAACAUUGUGGAGGAGUUGGAACAAUGAUCGGCCACCUUGUCUUUUCAUACCAAAAUAUGGCUUCUCAUACCAAAACGUGUCGUUGCGGUCACAGUGCUGCAAAAAUGAGAUCUCUCAUUCUCUCGUCUCGGCUUGGAUUAGAAUAAGCGACGAAAUCGAAAGGGAAACGUAGACGAAAGAGGCAUGGUGAUGAUGGCGGGCAAUGCCAGGUUGCGUAAACACAAACGCGCACGUAUUGGCUUUGGCUUUUGCUUCCGCAGUUCCGCCUUGUGCUUUGACGCGCAUUUCAUUCAUGUCUCUUUUGUUUGCCUUUGCGCUUAAGAUUUUUAAGCACAAAGAUGAAAAGCUUGACGAAGCAACUCAGAACCAACUAUGCCAGCCUUUGCUUCAUUCACCCACUUUCUCUCCUCUUCCUCUGGAAUUUUCAAAACACUUUCUUAUGCUUUCGGAAAUGACUUUAACACCCCUCAGUCCCUUUGGUUCCUUCAAUUUUAGACCUUGUUUUGAUAAGGUUUUAGUGGGUUAUCAUGUCACACAACAAUGUCAUUAAGUAGUUGAGGUCCAAGUCACUAUUUUUUGUUUUAUCUUUUUUCAUUUGAUUGAAACAAAGUGGAAGAAAUGAGAAAUUCUCAACAACCACCCUCCCAACCAUGUAUGUUUUACAUUCAAGUAUUAAAGCAUUCAAUAACGGUGAUACUUUCUUUGAUCUAAAGCAUUCAGUGAUGCAUGUAAAAGAUGGUUCCGAAACAAUUUCUACUAAUGAGUAACAAAGAAUGAGCUGACUUGCAAACUCUAACACACCGUUUCAAAAAAGAAGAAACCUUUAUAAAAAAAAAAGGGUUUUAAAAUGGGUUUUCAUCGAUUAAUCAGAGUUUUAUUGUUAUCAUUUUAGAAAAAAUAAUGGAGAAACAAAACGCCCGUUUCUAAUUCACAUAUUACACGCGAGAGUUUAUCUUAAGAGAACCCAAUUUUGUUGAUAUUAUCAUUGUUGAUGUACCAAUCAAUACAAUCGGUGCUUCCUUAUUAGAUCAGUUGAGUUCUGUUCCAAAACAAGGUUGUCCAGCCCACCUGGACGCUUCAAGCCAGUCAUCGACCCUAGUAGCGCCUAACGAGUUUUUAAACCCUGAGUAUAUGUAGUGUUUUAAAAUAAGACCGCCCAACCCGCCUAAAACAUAUGCACUGAUAUCUAUUGGACCUUGAUGCAUAUGACAUUGAAACGUUUUCCUAACCGGAGUCUAAAGUGCAAACUUUUGAGGGCAAUGGUGGAAGAUGCCCAAAAUCGUAAAAUCAGAAAUAUCAAGCAAAGUGAUGGUACACGUGGUUGAAUCUAGUCCCCUAAUACUACGUCACAGGCACUAAUAGAGAAUUCCGGCAUUUUAGGGGUCCUUUUUAUAAUAAUACAAACACCCAACCUUCUCUUAUUUCCUCCUCCUCGCUUUCUUCUUCUUCUUCCACUUUCUCUCUCUACCUCUCUCACUCCGGCCAAGUCUAUCACUACCGACGCAAUUUCUCGCCGGAAUCCAAAUUCUCGCCGAUUUCUCGCGAUUCACUCCCCGGCCCAGCCAUGAAUCCCGAAUAGUGAGUCCGAUUUCAUAAUUCCGUCUGGUUCCUCUCUUUGUAGUUUGAUUAUCUCGGCGAUGAUCUUGGAGCUCUAGUUUCUUGGAGGCUUUUGAUUUUGUUUAAUUCCUGAAUAUUUAUAUCUGUUAUUUUUGCUCGAAUUUAGGUUUUUGAAUUUAGAUCUAGAUGCUUCGCUAUCAGAUCCGUGUAGAUUUUGUUUUAGAUUCAGAAUUUAUUUCAAUUUGGAGACCUGUAAUCUGGACUGAGUUGUUGGAUCGGUGCUGGUUUGGUUAAUAGUUUAUUAUUGGAUAGUAAUUUUUGAUCAGUGAGGUAAAUAGUUUGAUUAUUGUUUUAGAUCAAAUAAUUACUGAUGUUUGUGGUGAAUUGGAUGCAGUGACUACCUGUUUAAGCUUUUGCUGAUUGGUGAUUCUGGUGUCGGCAAGUCUUGUUUACUUCUGCGGUUCGCUGUAAGUUGUAGUGAAUUUGUUCUUGUAUUUUGCUCUUUGGUUAUCUAUAGUUCUAAUAGUUGAUAGAGAUUGUAUUGCGGCUGAUUUGUUCUAUGUGUUUGUGGAAAUCAGGAUGAUUCUUACUUGGAUAGCUACAUCAGCACAAUUGGAGUUGACUUUGUAAGCAUUACUUGGGUUUUACAUUGUGUGAUUCAUUUGAGUUGUGAUAUAAAUCCCGUUCCUAUUGUUCGGCUCUCAUUAACCUUCUGUUGUGUCUUUUGUUUAGAAAAUCCGCACUGUGGAGCAGGAUGGAAAGACUAUCAAACUUCAAAUUGUAAGUAUAUGAGUUCUCUGACUGGUUUUGUCAACAAGUUGUGAAACCAUCGGUUUCUUGCUGUUGUUAAUUAUGAAUUGCUUUUGGGACUUUCAGUGGGACACAGCUGGCCAAGAACGUUUCAGGACGAUUACUAGCAGCUACUACCGUGGUGCUCAUGGUAUCAUUGUAAGUGGGUUGUUCCGUACUUGGUGAUGGGCUUCUUACUCUUCCUGGACUUGCUAUUUAUUAUAGAUAUUUGUUUGGUUCUUGCAGGUUGUUUAUGAUGUCACAGACCAAGAGAGCUUCAACAAUGUGAAACAAUGGUUGAAUGAAAUUGACCGUUAUGCAAGUGAAAAUGUGAACAAACUUCUAGUUGGAAACAAGUGUGAUCUUACAGCAAAUAAAGUUGUGUCCACUGAGACAGCCAAGGUAAUUGUGAUGACCAUGUUCUGGUUUUCUAAUGUAUAUUGUUGGCAGACCACUUUUACCCAUGUGUGGUACACGGUAUACGAGAGCGAUGUGAUGAUUUAACUUUUUCAUUACUUUGCUUAGGCAUUUGCAGAUGAAAUUGGAAUCCCUUUCAUGGAAACCAGUGCCAAGAAUUCCACCAAUGUUGAGCAGGCCUUCAUGGCUAUGGCUGCUGAGAUUAAGAACAGGUACUUAGUUUGUAUUCCAUUUUUCUCGUAUUGCUUGAUCAAUUAUCCCUGUAACUGAUAGACUGUAAAUAUAUGAUUACAAUUUGAACUUUUUAUAUCAUUAUCAAAUGUGACCUUGUUAGGGAUCAAGCUGCAGAAAAAACUGCAUCUUGCAUCCUUGAUGUCUGUAAAUAGUUUCUAUCCAACUUCUCUCAUUCCUUGAUCAACUAAUAUAUGAUUGCAACUGGGCUUAUCUCUUUAUGAACUGGGACUUCUCAUCUCUUUGUCAGAUGUGAACUUGUUAGUGGUUAAGCUGCUGAAACAACUGUAUCUUGCAUCCUUCAUGUCUAACAUACAUCGUAUGUUUUGGUUCCUAUUGCAGGAUGGCAAGCCAACCGAUGAACAAUGCCAGGCCUCCAACAGUGCAGAUUCGUGGACAGCCUGUGAACCAAAAGUCUGGUUGCUGCUCUUCUUAAAGGGGAAAAGAAUAUUGGUGGGUGAAUGAUGUUUAUGGGUGUUUUCAUGAAUUGUAAAACUAGUUUUAUCUUAACGCUUUGAUAUGAAGAUUUUCUUUUGUUGUCAGUCGUCAGCACUAUGUUAAAGCCUUCCAUUCUUUUCAAUGUAUUUGUCUUAAAAACUUUUGUACAAAAAUUAGGAAUAUUGGUGAAUAGCAGUAUUUGCCUUGUUCUGUUCUCCAAAUUCUUGUCAGACUGGUUCUCCGUAGCAACAAUUCUUUAUUUUUAGUUCAUCACAAAAUAAAUAUGAGUUUCAAACUGGUGAAUGCAACCCUGCCGCUUUAUGUAUAUUUCUCUUGGCAUCACACACAUAUCUUACCGAUCUUGCCUUUGUGCUAUUGAAGCCUUAAAGUUUUUGCACAUAUUAGAAAGAUUGAAUUGUAUCAAUCUGAGUAGCCCCCUUUGAAUUGCAUAGAAAUAAAAAAUUCGAGAUAAAUAAGUGGCAAAGCUUAUCUUCAUUUGUUUUGUUGUACAGAAAGCUUGGCUUUAUCUCUGAAACUGUGUUGCAUUAUCAGUAUGAGGCAAAGCUUUAGCUUCAUUUGUUUUCUUUCUUGUUAAUGGUACAGAAAGCUUAGCUUUAUCUCUGAAACUAUGUUGUAUUGAUCACUCUCAAGUCUCAAGUCCCACAGUCCUAUACUAGGGGAGAAAGCUAUCACUUAGCAAAACCCGGAAGCAUUACAGAAUGCAGUCAAACUUGAGCUGUUAUCAGUGGAUAUUUGAAUCCACUGUGAUUAGCUACAAACUCUGAAAUUCUUACAGAUGGAGUUGGUUGUGAGCCCUCGUAAAUCUUUGUGACGCCAUGGUUGAAACUGAAAUCUUAGUCAAGUGAGGAGCUCUUCAUUCGUGAGCAUUUUGAGAGGAUUAUAUAUCCACAUUCCAUCCUCCAUUGUUUCAACUGUCAAGGUGGUCGCAACCAGCGAGGAAUCACUUCAUAACUAGCGGGCAAAGGGAGGAGGCAUUCAUCAUUAGACAAAUAGUUUCUCCACAUCGUUGCAUGCAAUCUCCAAACAUUAUGCUUCUGGGUUUGCUUGUUUUGAAGACUGAACUGUAAAGGGUUUGGCGGUAAAACUUUAGUCCGAGUAAACAGUAUCUUCAAUGUAAAGACCAAAUUGAUAUAGUCAAAAGCCAUUCGAACGCUGAGACAUCAAGAAGAAACUCAAUAAUACAAACAGAGAAGCAGCGAGAAAGAGCCAGCCGGUCCACCAUUACCACAUUUUUGUUUUUGUGAUAUCUCAUUUGUUUCCAACAUUUAACGUGUAAGUCCUUAAAUCGCCGUAUGCGAAGAUCGAAUGAAAACUAGUGAUCCUAAAUUUUUUCAUUUUAUUUUCAUUUUUGACCCGAUCAAAUUAAGCGCUCAUAAUAAGAAUAUUUCAUAUUCGACCUUAGGUUCUCACCUCCUGUGUUUGCAACAUUUAAGACUAUUUUUUUGUGUUUCAAUUUUAUUAACGGUAUUAUAGUAUAUGCAUACUAAUGCGACCUGGAUGACCGAAUCAAAAUAUUACAUACAUAUUAGUUACUCAGUUCACUUGCACCUUGGUGCGUAGAAAAAUUUUCGAGAAUGAUGUUAUGAAUUAAUAAUCUUUUGCACGGAUUUGUUUCUUUUCAUUGAAACGCUUGGGAUUUCUAUUUCUUAAUUUCGAUUGGAUUCGUUUCAUGUGCUGUUUUUCCUGUCAUAAUGAUUAUAUAGUUAAGCUUAUGCAUGCACCCAAGAAAAUCAUACAUGCCCCUUUAUUAGUUGAUCGACCUUUAGAGUUCCACCUUCUUGAUACGCAUGUAUGUAACAAACAUUUUAAUUGUAAUUAACUAGUCAUAAUUGUAAUUAACUAGUCAUAGACUCGUAUGUUCUCGAGGCCCAACGAAUAAAAUCAACUUUCAUUUUUAAUUUGAACAGUUUUAGGCUCAUAUAAAUAGGCCUUUUUCUAUCCCUGCUCCUCACUGUUUCUUCUUCAAUGGAAACUUUUAACCCUACUGGUGUUAGUAUGUUGCUCACAAUUGACACUACGCGCAACAGAGUUCUAUUCGCCGAAACUAGCAAGGAAGCUGUCGAUUUUCUUUUCACUCUUCUAUCUUUGCCUGUUGCCACAGUCAUUAGCCUCCUCUCUGGGGAUGGUAUGGUUGGUUGCAUCGGAAAUCUGUAUGAGAGCGUUCAAGAUCUCGGAGACACACACUUGGAACCCAACUUUAACAAGGACAUGCUGCUGAAACCCAAAGCAACAGUUGUUGGUGCCGAUAUCCUUGGCGUAAACAACAAUGUCUGUAAGUCUUGCAGCUGCCAUUUCCCUGGAUCUGUUUGUCCAUUAUGCGAAUGCGCCGUGUCUACGACAGCUGCAUCUACUGGAGAAGCGCCCUGCAGCAAUGGAGGGUACGUCAAAGGUGGUGUUGUAUUCGUGAUUAUGGAUAACUUGGUAGUGAAGCCUAUGUCUACCGUAUCAAUUCUAGAUGUGCUUAAAGAGCUGAAUGUUAUGGAGGUUGACGCCCUUGAACAGAAGUUGGUUAGUCUUGGCAAGGAAGAGGUUUAAUAUAUUCCGUUCAUAAUUCUAUCAAUUUCAUUUCAUAUAUUAACGAGUAUAUGAUUUUAAUAAUUAGCGCUUGGUUUUAUCCUUAGGGGCUGAAGUUGGUGAAGGCAUCUUUGGAGUCGAAUGCAGUUCUUAGCAGUGCAUUCCUUGGUAAUGAACUGCUUACACAAUGUCGUUUCAACUUAAUUUUGCGCUCUAGUAUUUCCUGUACGUAAAUUUUAACAACUAUGCAGUAGCUUAUUCUCUAAAGCCAACAUAUGUAUGCAGUAGCUUAUUCUUAUAGUGGAUUUUUCCUCCUUCUGUCAUCACUAGCAUUAGUGGAUAUGAUAGUUUUUAGGAAAACAAUAACAGAGGUACAAAACACCCUUGUCAAUUCAGUUUUGAUUAUGCAAGGAAACUGUAUUCAUUAAACUAGGGAGUCUGAAGCUUGUAUAUCACCGAAAUGUUUUGAACAGGGAAGUAAAGUAGGGAGACUGAAGUUUUUUUUUUUUUGGGUUCUCACAGGUAACGCAAUUGGGACUCCGGGCCAGUCCCGCACACAUACUGAUGGUAAGAGCUUUCGGUUUUUCUGUUCUGGAAGUAUAGUUGUGUUUGAUAUACUGAUAACUCCAUUAUAAUGUAGGUUUGGAAGCUGAAAUCCAGGGUGAAUAUGUUGCUCUUUCAGAAUUCAUUGGGUUAAAUAGGGUAAGAAGCCAAUGACAUAGAAUUCCCCUUUUACCAACCAACUUAAUUAGUUUCUAAUUCAUUGAGUUGUUUCUUUAAUUGCAGGUAGAACAAGCAGAUGUGUUCGAUGAGAAUUGGAAAAAUGAAGAGAAAAAAUGGAACAAAUAUGGCAAGUAUAAAGCACUGAAGAAACUAAGAAACACAAGAACAAGGAGAUGUUGAUAUACUUUGAUUAUCACAGACAGCAAACAUCCCAUUUGGCUAUUUCUAUGUUUAAAUAAAGCAUUUACAUUCCCAAUUCCCAGUAACCUACAGCAAAGUUUCAAUGCACUUUUAUUCCCUACACACAUCUAUAUGCAUAUAUCAUCAAAAGAGAAUUUUAGAGUUUGCCUCUCUUAUAGGUGAACGCUUUCAUUUUGAUUAUUUCUUUUAAGUUUCAAGUUAGUUAUGCGUUUCAGUAUUUCCUUAUAUUGAGAUCGAUAUGGGUUUCAUAAGCGAGGCACCUCUUAACUUUGGAUUCUCUUAAAAAACAUCAAAUGGAGGGGGAAUAAUGAAUAUAAGGAAAUAUUUGUUGGGAACUGAGUCACGAAAUUAUUGAGACCUAAAUGGUAAAAAGUCCUUACCCUGAAAAUGCUAUCCGUCGACAAUUGAUAUAACUUCAUUAAUGUAUGUGUAGAAUGAAGAUCACAAAAAAGAUGCAAGAAACGAUCUUUGUUUUGUAUCGUUGGCCUCAUGAUUGGAUAUAAUGGUUUUGGAGAAACAAUAUAUGAUGAAUUGCAAAAGAGCCCCCCAACACACACACACACACAACUAUGUUACAGAAUAGCAUGAAUGCAGUCAACAGUGGCUGAUCUAGUUUCAAAUUUCUAAUAGUGAAAAAAAGAAUAAGGUUCCCAGGAAGGAGUGAGGUGCCGAUAAUUGUAUGCCAAUGAAUCAUGUGAUCGGUUAGAAGCCGUAGGGAAAGUAGAUAAAGCAACAGCGGAGAAAGUGUCACUUGUAUAGGAUCCUUGCAGUUUUGGAAGAAGGCAUAGUGAAUUACAUACUGAAAAAAAUUUCCAUAAUGAAUUACAUAUUUGUCUACAAGUCAUUUUUUCAGGUCGAUACAAAAGAACCACUACAAAACAUGUCUAAAAUAAGCUCGUUCAUCCUCUUGGCUACGCAACCUAGCAAGCUUGUUAGUGACAACAAUAUCAAACGGGGCAGCUCUCUCAACAAUUUCCUUCAUCUUCCUUGUGGAGAUGUUGUGUGCAGUCUCAGCACAAUAGGUCCUAUUGUGCAUCAUCAGAACUUCCAGCUCCUUGACAUCAUGGACAACAAACUUCUUGAAAUGACUGGGAAGAUAAUGGCGAGUCUUCUUGUCAGAACCAUAACCAAUGUUAGGCAUGCAUGAGAGUAACUCCCUUGAAUUUUCUCCAUACACGAGUAAAUACCCUUAGGACUCCUCCAGUUGGUCUUGACGCAGAUCUUGCGGUCGCUCUGGGGCCACUUGAACUGCUUGACCCUCUUCUUCACGAUCACCUUCUUCAACAUCAGAACCGCCAUUUUCAAUUCACCUCCUUGGGGUUCAGCUCGGCAGCCUUGGCUCAAGGGAUAGUGGUUUGGAUGUUCAACAGCAUACUAGAGUUGGCAAGAAGUCAAUCCCAAGUAUUAAAAUGACUGAAAGCGCUAACUUUAGCAUUCAAUGGUAUGCCAAUAUCUGGUGGUGGCUCUAUAAUGCUAAUCGACAAUUGCAAUAGACCCAAAUGUGUCAAUACUAUGAUACCAUUAUGAGGUGGCUCUAUCCUCAUCAAUCCAAUGCACGAAAAAAGAAUAUAUAUGUACCCAAGAUUUACUGUCACGAAGGAUUGAGGGAAAGUAAUGUUGCUAAAGCAUAACUAGCCUGCAAUUGGGGUUUUUAGAUGUAACUGAAGAAGACCAGCCGGUCUUUGUUUUUCGGAUCCAACCUUAACUGGCAUGACAUGUGCAGUGAUCUCAUUCAGUAGAAUCUUUUUGUUGCAAGCCACAUUGUUCCGAAUGUACUUGAGGAAACUUCCAGGGGAGCACUUAUUUGCAUGCUACCAGUAAUCUCCACAAGAACAAACCCCAUUUUUAAACUGAUGGAACCUUGUAGUAUCUCUGAGAAUGAUUUCUCUUUUCUCAAUGACUGAUAUAUACUUGAUUGCAUGAUGGCAGUCCCCACAUACUCUCAAGUUUUUGAAAAUGCGGAUUGGCGUCCCUGAAGGCACAUGUAUAAGCCCAAAAGCAAUUGCUAGUUUUUCACUGUGCCAUAGUAGCAACUGCUGUUUCUGCUCUUCCCCAACAUCAUGUAAUGCAAAUUCAAGAUCUGGAACAUAGCCUGCCAACUUCAUUUUCUGAUCCAGCUCAGCCAGUUUUCUGUGAAUAGAUGCCAAAUCUGGGUGAGCCCUGUCACCUGAUCUGAACUCAUGGACUACACUCUUGACCUCAAUCCAACUGUAGCCAGGUGUCUUCACAACCCUAUUUUCUUUCAUUGAUCGCCUGACCUUCGCUACAAGUUCCCAUCUAUUUGUUGCAGCAUAAACAUUAGCAAGUUGAACAUAACCUGCUGCACUUGUUGGAUCAAGAUCAAGCAAUUUCUCAGCAGCGAACUCAGCUAACUGUAAGUUCUUGUGCACCCGACAGGCACCCAACAGAGUUCCAAAAAUAGCAGAAUGUGGUUCAAAUGGCAUUUUCUUUAUCAAUUCUACAGCUUCAACUAGCUUACCAGCACGACCAAGAAGGUCUACCAUACAUGUAUAGUGCUCUGGCUUAGCUUCAACUUGAUACUCUGGUGCCAUGGUAUCAAAGUAUUGAACCCCAAGGUCUACAAGUCCAGCAUGAUUGCAAGCCAUUAACACAGACACAAAUGUGAUCCAAUCUGGGUUAACUCCCUCAUUCCUCAUCUGGUCAAACAAACUGAGAGCUUUUAAACCUUCCCCAUGAUGAGCAUAGCCAGCAAUCAUUGCAUUCCAAGUAACAACAUCUUUUCGUGUCAUCUCAAUGAAAAACUUCCAUGCAUCCUCCAAAUUCCCACACUUACAAUACAUACUAACCAAUGCAGUUCCUGAAGUUGUACCAUUAUAUAAUUCAAACUUAUAUAGUAGCUGAUGUACUUGCCUGCCCAUUUGCAGCGCCGACAGGUUGCUACAACCCAGUAGAGCACUACUCAAACUUGAUGCAUUUGGCCUCACCCCAUAUCCAAUCAAUUUACUGAAAAGCUUCAAACCCUCUUCAGCUCGACAGUUUUCCACAUACCCCGCAACCAUAGCAUUCCAUGUCACUAAAUUUUUCUCGGGCAUCUCUCUAAACAACUUCUCAGCCACUCCAACCUUCCCAAACUUCAUAUACCCAGUAACCAUAGCCGUCCACGCCACAACACUCUUAACCGGUGCAAGCUCAAACCACUUCACCGCCGAGUCCAAAUCCCCACAUUUCACAUACCCCGAAACCAACGCACUCCACGAGACACUGUUCUUCUCCGGCAUCAAUAAAAACAACUUCUGUGCUUCCCUCAUCUCCCCAUUCUGAGCAAAACCCGAUAUCAUGGUAUUCCAAGACGCAAUGUCCUUAACCGGCAUUGUACCAAAGAACUCCAUAGCAGACCCAACACCAAGAUUACGUAAAUAACAAGCCAACAUAAUAUUAUACGAGCAAGUGUCUGGUUCAGGAAUUUUAUCAAACAGUUGGCGGGCUUCUUUAACUUUCCCUGGAAUUUUCGUAAACCCGGCUAAAAUCGAGUUCCAACUGGUUGUGGUUCUAACAGUCAUUUUCUCAAACACCUUAAGUGCAGAAUCUAAAUCCCCGGACCGAAUGUGGCUGGUGAUCAACUUAUUCGACUUAAUGAUAUUGCGAAAUUGGUGGUGAUCGAAGUGGUUAGACUCAUUGCAAAGUUGGGUUGGUGAAACCAGGUGGGUUUUGUGUGGAGGAAUGGCUUGUUUGGUUUGAUUGGGUUGUGGGUGGUGGGUUGUGACGGUGGAGAGGGGAGAGGUUUGGUUUUUGGCAUUAGGGAAAAGAGUUGUGAGAAGCAGUGAGGGCUGUGCUCUUGUGCUUCUUCUGAGAGAUGUCAUGGUAUCUCUCAAGCAAGUGAGAAGAGCAUGACUUCAAUCAGUUCAAUGACAUGGGGAAGUUGAAUUUGUGAGUCUGGGAAUUUAAAUUCUCAAAUUUUAAAUUUUAGAAACAAAAAAUUCCGUUGCCGGGACUUGAACCCGGGUCUUUCGGGUGAGAGCCGAAUAUCCUGACCAACUAGACUACAACGGAGUUGUGAUUCAAGGUUGACUUUGUUUUUAUUCACGGGAAGCAGGCUUAAGUUAAAAACUUUAAAUUGGUUCUUAGUUUGCUAAAAACUUGAAGGCUUGAAGCUAAUUACUUUUACAUCUUCAGAUUAUGAUCUUCUUGAAUUAGUGGAAGCCAAAUCAUUAUAGUCUUAGCUGUUAUAUAGUAUGCAUGUGCUAAGGUAUGUUUACUUUCUAGAUGGUUAUAUACUAUAUAUAACAGCAAUGUUGAUUUUAAUAUGGUGUGCUUAAGAAAUUGCAUUUUGAGAUACUUGUGGGGGUAUUUGCUCGACUUUAUGCAGCUUAUGUAAUCCAAGGUGUCAAAUCUUCUGUAUAAACAGAAACACAAUCAUCAGGGAGGGAUGCACGGGUGGGUUGGGGUUUGCUGCAGCCCACCUCAAUAUUUUAGAAAGAAAAAAAAUUUAGUAAUGUAGCAUAAGUUCCAACAGCCUAAAAUACAUAAGAAAAAAAAAUCUGAAUUAUGGAGGCUUCUAAAUUAGGUUAGAUUACGGUUGAACCAAAGACUAAAAUUUUGCCUAUCAAAGAUAUUUUGAUGGUCUAAAAAAUAGAUAUUUCGAUUGAAAUAUCGGAAAAUAUCAAAAUCAUUAAACUUUUAAGGGGAAAAUAAGGAAAGAUAUUGAUAUUUAUGAAACGUAUUAAUAUAUAUAUAUAUAUGUACACGAGUGAACAAAACACAUUCCAGCAUGCAUGAUUGAGGGGACUAGCUUGGGGCGUUUUGGUGCACGUACCUUGGCGGACCAAGGUUCGAAUCUCCACAUUUUUCGUGAAAAAUCGAUAAUUUCGUACGAUAUUCUCUUAGUACCUCUAAUAAGUUUCUAUACCUUAAGAAAACAAAAAAAUCGCCGAA
rnacentral:lncRNA from 1 species